ACGCACAAGGGCGGCGACGACAGAAGCUAUAAUUGUGUCUCACAACAAGAAGAUGAGUCCAAAAGAAUUGGAGUCAAAAUCUCAAAAGACCUGAUGGCCGUUGCUGGAGAAGCCCUUAAAACUAAUAUUACCACACUCGGACCGUUAGUUCUACCAAUGUCUGAGCAGCUCUUGUUUACCGCAACUUUAGUUGCGAGAAAGAUCUUUAAAAUGAAAAUCAAGCCCUAUAUUCCCGAUUUCAAGUUGGCUUUUGAGCAUUUCUGCGUCCAUGCUGGAGGGAGAGCUGUGCUGGAUGAGGUAGAGAAGCAUCUCAAACUCAAUGAAUGGGUUAUGGAGCCUUCAAGAAUGACUCUCUACAGAUUUGGGAACACUUCAAGCAGUUGUUUGUGGUAUGAAUUGGCUUACUUUGAGGCCAAGGGAAGAAUUCGGAAAGGUGACAAGACUUGGCAGAUAGCAUUUGGAUCAGGAUUCAAGUGCAACAGUGCUGUGUGGCGUGCAUUGAAGACUAUCAAUCCUGCUCAUGAGAAGAAUCCUUGGAUGGAUGAAAUUGAUAACUUUCCAGUUCAUGUGCCAAAAGUUACGCCAAUUGAUUUUUAAUGGUUGGACGUUGGGGACGUUUAUGCACGUUUAGCAACUAUUUAUAUAUAAUAUUGCUGUAAUAAUUAAUGCUGCGGUCUUAGAGAAGUGGUAUAUCUCUUUCGCGGUUAAUUAGUAGAAUGCAUGUAGAAUUUUAAAUUUCAAUAAUUAUAAGAUAUCUCUUCCUUAAUUAAGUGGUCGAGUAUCAUGUUGACGGGUUGAUCAAAUUGUGAUUGACACUGGGAAAUUCUAAAACAAUAUUUAUAGGAAAAUGUCAACUCCACUCUUAUUGUUAUUCAAAGCGGCUCGAAGCCUCGAAGACUAAUUUUGAAAAGAAAAUAACUUAAAAGGAACAUAUCAAUCACCAAGAUCUUGAUUCCGGAACUUCAAUAUCAGAGAUCUUUAGGAUCCUAAAGUGAUCUUUAAUUGAUCCUAUGAUCCCCUUGCGGAUAUUGGUUGAGAGUCCUUAAACCUGUGGAAGUUAAUUGCUGUAUAUAUCGAUGAUGGGGUUUUGGAGGCAAUACAUAAAAGAGUAAAAUCCUUUUUUUUUUUUGUUAACGUAUUCUCUUAAAAAAAAAUUCGAAAACCAUCAACUCCACUUCUGCCAUCAUAGAGGAAAAUGAUAUUAAAAAUUAAAAAAAAAAAGAGAUUGGGAAUAUAGAUAAAUCCUUGAAAUUGAAGUUUUUUUACUAAAUCAAAGAGAUGACUUUCUAAGUGUCUGUUUGGUAUGAUUUAUUUAAUGGUCAUAAGUGCUUAUUUAAUCUCAUAAGCUCUUAUUAUAAUUUUUGUUGUUAUUUAGUUGUUUUUCUAAUAGAGAAUUUGAAGCUUAAAUAAGCUAUUUUACCUCUACUAGCAAAAUCUCAAAUUUUGAACUUUUGAGAGUAGAUAUUGAAAAGUUUUUUUUUUUUAAAUGUCAAAAUAUCUAAAAUAUCAUCUACUUAUUUAACAAUCAUAUUUAUUGUUUUCAUAAUAUAACUUUAAAAAACUUGCCUAUUAAACUAGUUUCAUAAUUUUUUAAUAAAAUCUCUUAUUGACAAUCAAACAACUAAAUUUUUUUUAGUAAAAGCUCUACUUAAAUAAGUUUUACUUAAAAUGGAACCUAAACAAAAGAAUUCCUCCACAAGUUCAAAGUCAAGAUAGAAUACUUCAAUUUGAAUAUUUGAUUGAGAAAUAUUAAAAGAAGGCAAAUGCUAUGUUACAUGAAAUAUAACAUACACACUCCACAACAACCACACAAAUUGUGUGGGCCAAUUAUUUGUGUGGUUGCUGUGGAGUGUGUAUGUUACAUUUAAUGUAACAUAGGGGCUACCUUAAAAGAAUGACUUUGUAUAUGAAAGAAUUCCUUAAAUUGCUCGAUUCCCAAAUCAAAUACACCAACGCCGCUACGCCCAAACCAUGGACGACAGCCCUGAUUCGCCGCCAUUCAAGUUGAAGAUGUUAGAGAUUUUAGCCACUUUUACCUAAGAACUGCGUCUUCGAUUCAACUCUCUGCUCAUGUCCCGAACCCCCCAUCUUUUAUUGCCCCGAUCCGCUAGUGUAUGAGGAGUUAGAGCUUGUGCUAUAUAGAAAUUUACCUGAGGGCUUUGACGUCACGAAAGGCGAUCAAAUCAUGGACAAUUGCCCUCCAGACGAGCUUGGGCCAAAACCAGAACCAGAUGAACAUGAUAAUUGCCGUAAAUAUAUGAGGACUACGACUUCCCAGAAGGCCACCAAAAUCACGCACACCCCAAUCCAUACAUCUACCGACUCGCCGCAGGUCUUUUGCUGGGUCCACUAUCAGCCAAAAGGCCUACACCCACCGCUAUUCCCCGAAUCGUCACCACCAUCCCCCGAUGCGUCUCCUCUUAUAGAUUCAAUUUUCUAGCAUGCACCAACAGAAUGGGGAAGUGAUAUGAAAAGGCAGGAAGAUUUGGAGGGUAUGAAAACUGCAUUCAUCGGAUAUAAUGCUUCGUUCAGAGAACAAACUCCCCCUAACAUACAACUCAAACCUCUCAAUGACGAGACUCCCAUGCCUGCACACAAAAGCGUACUCGCUACAAGAUCAAAAAUCUUAGCCAUGCCAAAUUUAGAUGGAUCAUAUGGACGUGGUGGGAUGGUCAAACUUCCUGAGAGCCAUGAAGAGCUUGAGCCUCUUCUAGAGUUUCUUUACGUUGGGAGCUUGCCUGAGGAGAAGAUGCAGAAACAUAUUAUGACAUUAUUUAAGGCAGCUUACAAGUAUGAAAUCUGGUACUUGUGGGAGUUGUGCGCCAUAGCCUUUCGUCUUUAACUCAUCAAAUGAUCUUGAGGUUUUAUAUUUAGCAUAUUGUUGUAGACAUAAAGCAUUGUUGGAGGCUGCAUUGAAGUUGAUUGUUGAAGAGGCGCAGGAGCGCAUAUGCUGUGAGGAAUUUGUAGACUUUGCAAACAAGUAUCCGCUUAUGCUUAAGAUGGUUAGAAUGGCAUUGGUUGUGUGUCACAAAACCUGAAGAGUUUCUGGAGUCUGAUUAAUUGUGAGAGAGUGUACGGUUUUGUGUUAAGUUAUUGCUUGAUCGAUGAAAAUCUUUUAUUUUUGUUUUGGUCGUAUUAACAAAUACUUCUAUUUCAGACUAUGUUAUGUUAUAUUUCCAUCUAUCUCUUGAAUCGGGAUGGUUAUUUUUCCUUCUUUAGGCGUCGGGAUAGUUGUUCCCUUGAAAUCUUAAUUUGUGAUGGUUGUGCUUGUUUUUGUGUUUCUUUUUGGUGAACAAGCAUUCUCGUGUUAACAAAUACUUUUGUUUUAGACUGUUAUGUUAUGUUUCCAUUCGAAAAAAAAAUGAAAGAAUUCCUUGAUAAUAUCAAAAAACUAACUUUAUGAUUUGUUAUGGUUAAAAGAAUAUGUACACGAAAGAUUAGAUAAUUCAAAUGAAUGACUCCUUAAUUUAUUUCAUGACACUAUAAAGAGACGAGAAUCAAAGAUUUUUAAUGUCUUAUUAUAAAGAUUGAUUUUCAGUAACAUAAAAAUUUGUUGAAUAAAUAUCCACUAAUCAAUCCAAUUGUAUCAAUUUUUUUUUUAUUUUUUUUUGUGUAGUUUCAAUCAAGGGUGGAGGCCAUAUAAGAUUAGAAGGUGCCAUGGCCCUUGCAGAAUUUUAAAAAUUUUUAGGGUUAAUUUAUAAAUAAAAUAUGAAAAGCUUGUGUAAAACGUCCAUAUUGGCCCAUGUACAAUUAAUGUAUACAGUUUAUAUAUUAAAUAAUAUUGUAAUUUUACUGUUAAGCCCAUCAAUGAUAGCAUCAAAAUAGUAAAAAACAAAUCAGCCAAACCCAUUGAAGCCCACUAAAUCACUAAUAUAUAAUAACAUAAAAAUUGGAAGUUUAAAUUUAGCCCCGUAGAGUUGUCUUGUCUUUAGGGCAAGUAUGUUGUUGUCUUGUCUUUAGGGCAAGUUGAGAAUUUUUUCGUUUCUAUAACAGGUUAUUGGCUGCGGCUUUCGAGAACUUGUAAUGGCUACAAACGUUGAAACACUGGAUCCCACUGUCAAUAGUGACUAUGCUAAUAUGUCCAUAGAAGAGGAGGAGGAGGGAGGUUUGGUAGUCACAGGGGAUGAGGGGGACGAUGGUGGGCAAGGAAAAAUCGAUCUCCGCUUUUGCUUGGUUGGCAGGUUUCUUACGGACAAAGUAAUCAAUUUUGCUGCCAUGAAGAAUACAAUGGCGUCGUUGUGGCGUCCGGGCAAAGGAGUGUGCAUCAAAGAUCUAUCACCAACACUAUUCCUCUUCCAAUUUUUUCAUGAAAUUGAUAUUAAUAGGGUGUUGGAAUCGGGGCCAUGGACUUUUGAUCAACAUAUUCUGCUCGUCAAGCGUUUGGAGGAAGAUGAGCAACCACAAAAUAUUCCUUUAUUUUCUACUUCCUUCUGGAUACAGAUUUAUAAUCUACCAAUUGGAUUUAUGUCGGAGAAAAUUUUAAAAGACAUUGGGAAUUAUAUUGGUAUUUUUUUGGUUUCGGAUGAGAAUAAUUUAAUGGGGGUCUGGCGUAAUUAUAUGCGCAUUCGUGUCUCGAUGGAUGUUCGGAAACCUCUUAAGCGUAGGAUGAAACUGAAAAAAGCAGGCGGUGAUUGGAUUUGGGUUGAUUUUAAGUAUGAGAGACUCAAUAUUUUCUGCUUUACCUGUGGCUUGCUUGGCCAUACUGCCCAGCAAUGCCCCAAACUAUAUGAUUGCCCGCAAAGUGAAAUUGUGCCUGUUUAUGGCCAUUGGUUGAAGGCGCCAACUAGGAGAAAUGUGAUGAACUCCGGCGAAAGGUGGCUGCGCCAGGGACCACUGGAGACUGUGGAGACUAGUAAAGGAAAGAGCAAGGAUCACGUUGUUGCCAUGUCAGUGGAUUCGGGAAAUAUCAUAAAAUAUGGAGUUGCUUUCUCAAAGCCUAUUAUUGCUGGCGUAGAUAUGGGAAAUAUGGCCCUCAAUAUGGGAACUGAUAAUAAGCUGCCAAAUGGGAUGCAAUUAAAAGAGAAGCCAAAUAAUGGGACAGCUGUUGUUGUGGACGAGGAUAUGGAAGGUGAGGAGAUUUUGGAAACUGGCCUAAUUGUUAAUGAUUUAAAAAGAAGAAGAUCUGUAACAGGGCUCCAUAUUACUAUGGGCCUAGGUGAGGAAUUUUCAGCAAAGAGUGACACUCUUGCUGAAGGAAAAAAUGGACCAGCGGUGGGACUUGUAAUUCAGGCCCACCGAACUCAAUGAGUAUCUUGAGUUGGAACUGCCGUGGGUUGGGCCACCCGCGGACAGUUCAAGUGUUGGUGGAUUUGGUCCGCAAUAAGAGGCCUUGUUUUGUGUUUUUAAUUGAAACUUUAUGUAAUAAAAAUAGAUUAGAGCAAAUAAAAACGAAGAUUGGUUUUGAUGGGCUGUUGGUUGUGGAUAGAGUGGGCCGUGGGGGAGGGCUUGCUUUCUUAUGGAAAUCAGCUUGCGAGGUUACCUUACUCAGCUAUGGUCAGAACUACAUUGAUACAGAAGUGGAGGUUGUUGAUUUGGGACGGUGGAGAAUUACGGGAUUUUAUGGAUUCCCAGAAUCUAGCCGACGUCGGGCUUCUUGGAACCUUCUACAUUCGUUGUCUAAUUCUUCCUCUUUGCCGUGGGUUUGUAUAGGCGAUUUCAAUGACUUGUUGGCUGCUAACGAAAAACGCGGGCAACAUGAACACCCAAGAUGGAAGCUGGAGGGUUUCAAUAAGGCCAUUGAAGAUUGUGGUUUGGCUGAUCUUGGAAUGGAGGGGUAUCAGUUCACUUGGGAAAGAGCUCGGGGCACUGACAAUUGGGUUGAGGAAAGGCUUGAUCGGGCUUUUGCUACUAAUAGCUCGUUUCGUCAGUUUCAUCGUGCAAGGGUGUGUAGUUUGGAAGCUGCUGGCUCCGAUCAUCUGCCAAUCUUACUGGACCCCAACCCACAAGCCUAUGUGUACAGGUACCACCGCUUUCGAUUUGAAAAUUUAUGGCUGCGUGAAGCUGGGUGUAGUGAGGUGAUUCGCUCUAGUUGGGUUUCCUCUGACGAGAGUUUGAUUCAGCGAAAGAUUGAAGAGUGUGGCUCUGCUUUGCUGGUUUGGGGAGGGCAAUUAGCUCGUGACUUUCAUAAAAGAAAAUUGGAUUGUAAACAGCAAAUGGCUUUAUUAAGAGGGAGGCGUGACGCGGCUGGAGUAACUGCUUUCACUGAGACAAGAAACAGAUAUAAUGAGCUCCUCCAUUGUCAUGAGGUCUUUUGGAAGCAGAGAUCGAAGGCUCUUUGGUUAAAGGAAGGGGAUCGAAAUACGCGCUAUUUCCAUACCUCGGCAUCAACAAGAAAAUAGAGGAAUUCACUCGGAGCUAUUCGAAAUAAUCAAGGUCAGUGGAUUUCUAAUUCGAAUGAAAUUGAUUCGAAGAUUGUUGAGUAUUUUGGUAAUUUAUUUAAAUCAAAUGGUUUGGAUAAUAAUGAUAUGUUUCGGUGUGUGGAGAGGAGGAUUACCACUGAGCAGAAUGAGUUACUUUUGGCUCUAUUUUCUGAUUCUGAAGUUAAGAAUGCUAUUUUUGAUAUGAAUCCGGACAAAUCACCAGGUCCAGAUGGCAUGAAUCCGGCUUUUUACCAAAAAUUCUGGCACAUUGUUGGUAAGGAUGUGGUAGCGGCUUGCCUGUCAUUUAUUAAUGAUGUUUCUUUCCCUAUGUGUCUGAAUGAUACUUCGAUUGUUCUUAUUCCAAAGAAACAACGGCCUGAGACUCUAGCGGAUAUGAGACCAAUCGCUCUCUGUAAUGUGCUGUACAAGAUUGUCUCCAAGAUGCUUGCCAACCGAAUGAAAUCAGUGCUGGAUUCAGUCGUCUCGGAAGCUCAGAGUGCAUUUGUGCCAGGUCGUGCAAUCACCGAUAAUAUAAUUGUUUCGGCAGAAAUCAUGCACUUCUUGAAAAGGAAGAGGCAAGGAAAGCAUGGUGUCGCAGCUCUAAAGAUCGAUAUGUCCAAAGCAUAUGAUCGAUUAGAGUGGGGUUAUCUCCAGGAGAUGAUGCUGAAAAUGGGUUUUGAUGCUAGAUGGGUGAACCUUAUCAUGCUUUGUGUGACAACAGUUCGGUACAAGGUGUUGCGUGAAAAUAAGGAAGUGGGACCAAUCAUACCAAGUAGGGGUCUUCGUCAAGGUGAUCCAUUGUCGCCGUAUCUGUUUAUUUUAUGUGCAGAAGGACUUAGUUCUUUAAUCAAGAGCCAAGAAAGGGUUGGUCUAAUUCAUGGGGUGAGGGUUGCUCGCAGUGCCCCAGUAGUGACGCACUUAUUUUUCGCUGAUGACAGUUUCUUGUUUUUUAGAGCUAAUCAGGCUGAAGCUUUGGUUGUCAAACAGAUAUUGGAGACUUAUGGAUGUGCUUCUGGUCAACUGAUAAAUUUCUCAAAAUCAUCCAUUUCCUUUAGUGCUAAUGUGCAGGAACGUGCUGUUAGCCAGAUUUGUGGAACCUUGGAUGUCAAUGCUACGGAAGAUCAUGGAACUUACCUCGGACUUCCAUCUAAUAUUGGGCGGAAAAAGAAGGCUGUGUUUUCUUAUAUUCGGGACAAAGUCAGAAAGAGACUUCAAGGUUGGCAAUCCAAACUGUUGUCUCGAGCUGGGAAGGAGAUAUUACUGAAAACAGUGGCCCAGGCAAUGCCUAACUACGCCAUGAACGUCUAUCUACUACCUCACUAAAAUCAGGGGGGGCAGAGGAAUUUCUUGGAUGAGAUGGGAACAUUUAUGUAAACCAAAGGACUUUGGGGGAAUGGGUUUCAAACAGCUACACACUUUCAAUAUUGCGAUGCUUGGUAAACAGGUCUGGAAGCUUCUUACAAGACCUGAAUCGCUGGUUGCUAAAACCUUAAAAGCUCGCUAUUUUCCGAGAACAUCUGUAAAUGAAGCUAAGUUGGGGCAUAAUCCAAGUUUUGUGUGGCGAUCCAUUGUCGCUACAAAGGAUGUUGUGGUUAGCGGGAGCCGCAUACAAAUUGGACAUGGGCAGCAGGUGUUAAUAGGCCAAGAUCCUUGGCUGCCGGAUACAAAUAAUGGUUUUAUCACAUCUCGGAUACAUGAGGAGCUGGCUGUUGCGAAGGUAAGUAGUCUGAUGGUGCCAAAUCAAAGAAGCUGGGAUUUAGAUCUCCUUGCUGACAUUUUCAAUAAGAGAGAUAGAGAGCUGAUCCUUCAAAUUCCUCUUAGUCAACGUCGAGAGUCUGAUGUAUGGUAUUGGCUUCAUGAUCCGUGUGGUGUUUAUUCAGUUCGCAGCUGUUAUAAGUUGUUAACUCAUCGGGACAGCGACUCUUCUACUCGUGUUUGGAGAUCAUUAUGGAGACUGGAGGUGCCGAGUAAGGUGAGAAAUUUUCUUUGGCGGGCUGCCACAAAUGUGUUACCUACAGCGAGUAAUCUUGUUCAUCGUCGAGUAGCUAUUGCGCCUACUUGUUCCCUGUGCAAUGCUUGUAAUGAGACAGUUACACAUGCUUUAUUAGAAUGUGGUUUUGCGAGAUCUUGUUGGAUCUCCUCUGCUGUUGGAGCCCUCGGUCACUAUACCUCUUUCUUGGGUUGGCUUGAAUUUAUAUUCACCAUGUAUAAUAAAGAGAAUUGUCAGCUGGCUGCCAUGAUUUGCUGGAGGAUAUGGAUUCAUAGGAAUGAUUUUGUAUGGAAUCAAAGAAGAAGUAGUGGCUUACAAGUGUUGAACUCGGCGGGAAGGAUGUUAUUUCAGUGGCAGAGUGCAAAGAACCAACUUUUAUGGGCUGAUGUUGCAGCAGUAAAUGGUAGUCAUGGGGCUGUUUGUUGGGAGAAGCCUUGUGAUGGGUGGCUGAAGUGCAAUGUUGACGCUGCGAUUUUCAAAGCUCAUGGUAAAUUCAGUAUUGGCUGUGUAAUCCGUAACUCUGAUGGUGAUUUUGUGACAGCAAGGUGCAAGUGUUUUCCGGGUAAUUUUGGUUCUCGAGAGGCUGAAGCGCUGGGCAUUAGAGAAGCUCUUAGUUGGAUAACGAGGCUGCAGCUGACUAGUGUCAUUAUCGAAAUGGACAAUCUUCAAGUUUUCCAAGCUUUAACUGAGAAGUUUUCCAGCCCCAAUGGUUUUGGGCUAAUAAUUGAAGAGUGUCGAUCUCUAGCUAUGUCUAUUGGAGAAGUGCAAUUCUCGUUUGUUCGACGAUCUGCGAACUCUGCUGCUCAUUGUGUUGCUAGAGUAGGAGGUUCUAUGUCAGGUCCUGGAGAGUGGAGGCAUGUUCCACCUCCAUGCUUAUUACACAAUUUGUAAUGGUUUUCAUGUUUUAAUGAAUAUUCCUGUCAAAAAAAAAAAAAAAAAAAAUUUAGCCCCGUAGAAUUUUCUCUUAAGUUCCGCCCCUGAUUUCAAUCUUUUUGUAUAAAUUGAACCUUUAUACUUAUGAAUUAAUAAUUAUCACCGUAUAUUAUUCUUUAAAAUUUUUUAAUUACAUAUGCUUAUUUAUGCAAGAAUAGUUUUGCAUUACUCGUCAUAUUCUGAUAUUCAUGUCCUCACUCACAAAGUUUUAGAUGUGCCGGCAUCAUCACUCGACCUAAUAAGACUUUCUCUCUCAGUCAAUAGCAGUCAAAUUGAGAAUUAAUUUUUGUUGUUCAAUUUCAACAUGAUGAACUAUCUUUAUCGAAACAAAAAUUAAGAAUACAAAUAUGUUAGCAGCUAAUCACUAAUAUGUAUUUAUUUACAAAAAUAAUAAUGCUAUGUUUACUUAAUUUAUAUAUUUAAUUGAGAUAUUUACUGAUGUGUCAUAGAUCAUUUAAUAUUGUAUUAAGUUAUUUGAUUAUUAAUUAUUAAUCUAUUAUUUUUGCAAAUAGCUCAAUAGAUGACGCAUAAAGUAGCUCAUAGUGUGUAUCUUGAAUGAGGAUCCAAAAUGAGUAAACAUAACAUUACUUUUUACAAAGAUUAAUUUCUUGAGACUGCCAAUGACUUUUUGAAUCAUCAUAUGCAUUUUAAUUUUUAAUUUCUUCUUCUAGGAAUUUAUUUUAUUUUAUUUUGUUAUUUACAUUUAAGGCUUACUAUUACAUUAUUAAAUGUAGUACAAUACCAAAGUCCUCUUACUUUCUUUUUUUCUUUUUAAUGAAAGAUACUGAAUUUUAUUAAGGUGGGAAAAAAAGAGAAGAAAGAAUACAAAAACAAUAAUUUAAAAUCAUAUUUGGGAAGUCCACAAGCAUCUUCAUGCAAACUCUUACAAAUUGAAACAGAAGGAUCAUCUCACCAAUUAUAUAUAAGCAUUAAGAUUUAACCUCGGAUUAGAAAGGCUAUCAGCCACUGAAUUCCUCUCUCUAUAAAUAUGUGAAUUAACAAAGUGUAUUCUACAAAUAAAUCUCAAAUCAAUCAACCAUCUGAUGAGCAGAAGCUAUGGUGGCUUGGAUUUGGUAUUCAUAAGAUAAGCUAAAGCCGAAGACGAGUCAUCUCCAACCAAAUAAAAUUCCAUAAUCUUGAUUGAGAAACUUCAAUAUUAGAGAUCUUUAGGAUCCUAACAUGAUCCUUAUAUAUGAUCCCCUUGCGGAUAUUGGUUGAGAGUCCUUAAACCUGUGGAGAUUAAUUAGUAUAUAUAUCAAUGAUGGGGUUUUGGUGGCAGUACAUAAAAGAGUAAAAUCCUUUUUUUGUUAAUAUGUUCUCUUAAAACAAAAUUCAACAACCACCAACCUCCACUUCUGCCGCCAUAUAAGAAAAUGAUAUUAAAAAUAAAAAAGAUCGAGAAUGAAGAUAAAUGCUUGAAAUUGAAAUUUUUUUUAAUCAAAGAAAUGAUUUUUUAAAUGAAAGAAUUCCUCCACAAGUUUAAAUUGAAGAUAGAGUACUUUAAUUUGAAUAUUUUGAUUGACAAAGAUUAAAAGAAUGAUUUUCUAAAUGAAAGAAUUCCUUGAUAAUAUUAAAAAAAUUAACUUAUGAUUUAUCAUGGUUGAAAAAAUAUGUGCAUGAAAGAUUAUAUAGUUCAAAUGAAUGACUUCCUAAUUUAUUGCAUGACCUUAUAAAGAGACGAGAAUCAAAGAUUUUCAAUGUCUUAUUAGAAAGAUUGAUUGUCAGUAACAUAAAAAUUUGUUCAUUCUAUAUUUACUGAUCAAUCCAACUCCUUAUUCAUAGUUGUGUCAUUCUUUUUUCAUCGUAUUUUCAAUCAUUUUGUAUAAAUUGAACCUUUAUACUUAUAAAAUAAUGAUUAUCUGUGUAUAUUAUUCUUUAAAUUUUUUCAAGUGCAUAUGCUUGUUUAUGCAGUAAUACUUUUGCAUUAAUCAUCAUAUUCAUGACCUCACUCACAAAGUUUUAGGCUCGCCGACAUCACCCCUCAACCUAAUAAGGCUUUCUUUCUCAGUCAAUAGCAAUCAAAUUGAGAAUUAAUUUCAGUAUUUCAGUUUCAACAUGAUGAACUAUCUUUAUUGAAACAAAAAUUAAGAAUACAAAGAUGUUAACAACUAAUCGCUAAUAUGUAUUUACUUACAAAAUAAUAAUGCUAAUUGUCACGGGCUGCUCAAAUUUCCCGUAAUCGGAGGUUAAUUCCGCCCACACGGGUUCGUUUAGUAAAAGUCCGCCAUGAAGUGGAGUGCAUUUAUAAGUGGGAUACGCUUAGCACACAAAGCGGGAUGAAUUUAGAAGAGAGAUGCACUUAGUAAUGGGCAGCCAACACAACAAGCCAACCAUGGUGCGCUUAGCAACCAUCCAAGCCCGGCCCGAGUUCUAGAGUUCUCGACAAUUUGUAAAUACCUAGAGUUUUCUAGAAUUGAACAUUUGGGUCCUAGGAGAUAUUUGUGCAAGUUGCAUGGAAACUUCAAGAACCUUGCACCCAAGUCUAUAAAUAGGGAUGAACCCCCUCAUUUGCCCACCAACCGCACCACACACAAACACUCAAGCACACACACAAGCUCUCUACCUCUCUUGUAAUAUAUUCUUUAGUGUGUAAUAAAAUAUAUUUUGGCCACAAUGCUCUACUUCUCUCUAGCAUUUUCUGCAAGCAUUCUUGCUUCGCUAGUUUGAGAAGUGUUCUAGAUUUACUUAGCGACUUGAGUGUUAAAAGUCGCUUAAGUGUCGCACGGGUUGCUGCGCCACGAAACUCAUCCCGUGACAUAACGCUUACUUAAUUUUAGAUAUUGAAUUGAGAUAUUUAUUGUCACAAAUCAUUUAAUACCAUAUUAUGGUAUUAAUUUAUAUAUUAUUAAUUAUUAAUCUAUUAUUUUUUCAAUUAACUCAAUAGAUGACAAAUAAAAUGGCACAUCAAUGAGUUUCCUGAUUGAGUAUCCAAAGGGAGCAAACAUAACAUUACUUUCUACAAAAAUUUGUUUCUUGAGAUGCCAAUGAUUUUUUUUUUUGUGAUUUUUUGAAUCAUCAUAUGCAUUUUAAUUGUUAAUUUCUUCUUUUAGGAAUUUUUUUUGUUUACUUAUUUACAUUUACUAAGGGUAAGGCUCAUUAUUACAUUAUUAAAUGUAAUACAAUUCCAAAGUCCUCUAACUUUAUUAUUAUUAUUAUUAUUUUUAAAAGAUACUGAAUUUUAUUAAGGGGGAAAAAAAGAAAAAAGAAGAAAGAAUACAAAAAUAAUCAUUCGAAACGAUACUUGGAAAGUCCGCAAGCAUCCUCAUGCAAACUUUUAUGAAUUGAAACAAGAGGGUCAUUUUACCAAUCAUAGGCAUUAAGAUUUAACCCCAAAUUAGCAAGGUUAUCAACAACUGAAUUCUUCUCUCUAUAAAUGUGUGAACUAACAAAGUGUAGUCUACAAAUAGAUCUCAAACAAUUAAACUAUCUAAUAUGCAGACACCACGGUGGCUUGGAUUUGAGACUUAUAAGAUAAACUAAAGUCGAAUACGAGUCACCCUCAAACCAAAUAAAGUUCCAUCCUUUCGAAGUUGCAAGCUCAAAUGUGUAGGAACACACCAUCGACGGUUCUUUGUCGGCCACUGAAUUUGGCGCUUGUAAGGCUCACCAUUAGAUCUUUUUACUAGAGUAUUCAAUCAUUUUUAAUUUUAAUAAAGAUGUAUCCCACGAAAUUUGUGCACUAAGAAAAAAAAUUUGGGUAUUUUUUAAGCACCUCUCCUGAGGUUCAUCAUAUUGACAGUUUGAGAGAAAAUAUGAGCAUAUUAUUAGAUAUCUCCCCUGCCGUUUGUAUUUUCAUCUAAUGAUUGUUAGAACAUAGAAAUAACUGAAAUAUCCCUAAAACUAAGAAAAAUACUAUAGCAACUAGUAGGAUGUUGUUCGAUAAUAGAAUAAAAUAUGCUUUGCUCCCAAUACACUAAUAAAAUUAUAAAAUGACAAAAAUAACCAUGAUAACUAAAUAUUAGACAUUGCAUACUCAUUAACUAAAAAGACGGGAUUACUAUCACAAUUUGUAAACAACUUAAUAAUUUCUAAACUUCAAUUAAGAAAAUCAUAUUUGUCAAGUAGUUUAAAAAUAAAAAUGGUAUUUAUAUCACAAAAACCUCCAUUCUUAACAAUUUUUCUUUUUAGUUCUAUCAAGACUUACAAAACAACAAAUUAUUAGAGAAUAAAAUAAGCAGAUUGGUAGUUGCAGAUACAAACACAGAAAUAUAGCAGGUGCAAAAAAUAAUUUGAUUUCAAAAGUAAUCGAGCAGUUUCUUUCGUUCUUUGGAGUGCAGUGCUCCUAGUUGCACGAUAUGUUGCAGCCAUCUCCUUUGCCUUGAGAAGUUCUUGUCCAUCUGUAGCUUCAAUCAUUGCCCUUUUCUCUUCUACUUCUUUGUUAAGUAAGAUCUAUCUUAUUUUUCACUUUUUAAGUGUAUUUUGCUCAAAAUGUUGCCUAUAAUUAUUCCUACCAAUUAAUGAAUAUAUUGAACAUGAAUCUAUUAUUUAUUAAAUAUGUGAGAUUAACACAGUGCAUGCUAAAAUGCCAAAACCCAAAGGACUUGUAGUUUUGGCAGUUUUUUUUUUUUUUUUUUCCUUUUUAGACAAGAUACAAUUGAAAUUGAAGUCCCCUCACGAUAGGACCUCCUUGCUCCUAAAUUUCUAUCAAUUAUCAAUUGAAAGAGAAAGAGGUACAACCAAUUGUGAAAUUUAUAGGCCGCGAAAUUUUUCAUCAGUAAAGUGAGAAUAAAAGCCCGUAUAUAUAGAAGAUUGGGCACAAUUUUCUUCGAUAUCGUGAAGAAGAGGAAAAAUAAUUAAAAAAGCUCAAUAUAUAUAUAUAUAUAUAUAUUCCAUAAUGCCGUAAUAAAAAUUACGACAUCAAUACUAUGAUAGAAAAAAAAAUUAUAAAUUACAUAUAAAACUAAUAAGUAUAAAGUAAAACCAGUAAAUUCGUACAAUAUUAUCAAUUAUUUAAAAAAUUAACAUUAUUUCCAUAGAAUUUUAGUGAAAAAUAUUUUAUUCAUUUACAAAAAAAUAUUUUCUUUAAUUAAACAAACAAAAAAUUACUAAUUAAUUAAAUAAAAAAUUAUACUGAAAAAAAGUAGAAUAAGUUUUAUUGAGUUGGUUUAACCAUAAAUUCUAUACAUAUUCUAGAACAUUUGUAUACUUUUUUUUCCCAUUUUUUUUAAUAAUAUGUAUUUAUUACACAAGUUCAUUUAGCACAGUUAUUUAUCUUGAUAUGGAUCAAGCAAAAACAAAAUAAAAAAAUAUUCUUAUUUUACUUGACACAUACAUGAUGUAUCAAUAAAAUUAGAUCUAAUUUUGAGUUUUGUGUAAAAUUCAUGUACUUUCAAACUUUUUAGUUGUACUUAGAGACCAUUUAAGGUUGUUUUGAGGAAGUGUAGAAAGAUGUAAAAUAACUUCAUCUUGCAGCAACUAUGAAAGAUACUAAAAUAAUAAUUUUUCAAAAUCUGAUUUUGAGAAUAAAUUUCAUCGUUGAUGAAAAAUCCCAUGUAUUACAUAAAUGCAAAACUAGCAUUAUUCAAUUUAAAUAAAAAAAUUAAUAAAUGUAUAAGGUAAUAAACAUUAUAAUGAGUUUUUAUUUUACAAUUGUGAACUUUUUUUUUGUUUGUAGUAACUCUUAUAUUAAUUUACUUAUUUUACCUUUUAUUCAUAAGUUUUAGGCAUAAGCUAUAAAAUUUAUGUUUUAUUUUGCAUUUAAUGUUGAUUUACUUGUUUAUGUUAUAUUUGUAAAUAUUUACCAGUUUUAUAGUAAUUUACUUGUUUUUCCUUUCUUUUACAAGUCUUACAUUCUAUUUCUAAAAUUUAUGUUUUAUUUUACAGCUAGUGUUGAUUUAUUAGUUUUAUGUUAUAUUUGCAAGUUUUUGUUUUAUUUACCCGUAAUACAUUAAUUUGCAAUUUUCAUAUUAAUUUACUUAUUUUACCUUCCAUUUACAAGUGUAAUGUUCCAUUUUCAAAACUUAUGCUUUAUUUUGCACUUAAUGUUGAUUUAUUAAUUUUAUGUUAUACUUGUAAGUUUUGUUUUAUUUACCAAUAAUACAUUAAUUUACUAAUUUUAUAGUAAUUUACUUAUUUUACCUUUCUUUACUAGUCUUUUGUUUCAUUUCUAAAAUUUAUAUUUGAUUUACGGUUAAUUUUGAUUUACUAGUUUGUAAGUUUUUGUUUUGUUUACUAGCAAUACAUCAAUUUACUAGAUUUAUAUUAAUUUAUUUGUUUUAUCUUUCAUUUACAAAUCUUAUGUUUAAUUUCUAAAAUUUAUAUUUUAUUUUGCACUUAGUGUUAAUUUAUGAAUUUUAUGUUAUAUUUGCAAUUUUUUUUGUUUUAUUCACUAAUAAUACAUCAAUUUACUAGUUUUAUAUUAAUUCACUCCUUUUACCUUCCAUUUACAAGUCUUAUGUUUAAUUUUUAGAAUUUAUGUUUAUAUAUAUAUUGUAUUUGGGAGUAAACCCACCUAAAUCUUAAAUUGUAAUCAGAAAUACAAUCCUAAAAAUUAAUUUCAUUUAAAAAACUCUCAAUUUUUCUUCCAUUUCAAUUUUAUUACAAAAGUUUGGAAUUUUAUUUGCGAUUAAAAAGAAAAAUUCAUUUUUGUUUAACAUAUAAAUCACAUGAAAGUAACUAAUCUUUAAUAUGCAAUGGUUUAUUUAGCUCAUCACUAGUGCAAAUCAAACUAAAAACAUGCAGCAGUUUCUUUAACAAAUCAAAUAGAGCAUUAAAUCCAUUUUCAAACACAACAUCAAAUCAACCAAAAGGCUCUAACUUAACAUGCAUUGGGUUAUCUGGAUUACUCGCAAUCCAUUCAUACUUUAUUGUUCAUUAUUGUUCAUUCAAACUGGGGCUUCUUCGGAUUAGAAGCGAAAAGAGAAGAGUCUUCUGUUUGUUUGGGUGGUUAAAUGGACUGCUAUUUAGCUUGAGUUUGGUAGAUGAAAGACAAAAUAUGUCCAACGCAUUCUUAGAACCAAUAGUGAAGUGCUGCAGCGGCCAACUCGGUCAUGAGUUUACUUUUUGAAUUUUUUUUAAUUUUAAGUACCUUUAUAUGAAAUUACCAUCAUACAUUAACAAGAGAUCAAAUUGAAUACAGACGGCGGGAGAUGUAUCUAAUAAUACGUUCAUAUUUUUGGUCCCUAAAAAUUAGAAAAAAAAAAACACCUUAUAUUUUCAAUAUUUUGGCAUUGAUAUUCUCACUUUAUAGUUUAUACCACUACUAGAAAAAUGGUCUUUACUGAUACUUAGUUCGUGACACUUUAUUAAAAAGUAUCAGUAUUUACAUAUAUAUGAACCAUUUUCCGUGUUUAACAUACAAGUAUCACAAAAUAUUAAUAUUAUGGUGUCUCUAAAUUAAACAUCAGAGAUUACUGACACUAAGGUAUCUGUAAAAAAAUUAAAGUAAUUAUGAUAUUGUUCAUGAUAAAACUCGAACCCAAGACCUAUAAAAAUUAAGCUUUUAAGUUUUAAACAAAAGCCAUUAUAAUUUUUCAUAAUGACACUAAGGUAUCACUAACUGUUAAAAAAAACAAAAACAAAAACACACGCACACAUUCACACAUGACACCUCACCCCACACACUCACAAGACGCAAAAACAAACCCUAAGUCCUUAACAAUUAACAUUACAAUACUUUGAAAGAGAGAGAGCGCCGCUACUCUCGAUCCAGUGCUCCAACAUCGGCUCAGAUCUCUCGCUUUUAUAUCACCGUGUCAAGCCUCUCCGUCACGCCGUCAAGCCUCUCCGUCACGCCGUCAAGCCUCCAUCAAGUGUCACUGCUUCAAGCCUCCAUCAAGUGUCACUGCGUCAAGCCUCUCUGUCACGCCAUCAAGCUUCCAUCAUGCGUCACCGCGUCAAGCCUCUCUCCGCUGUCAUAAGUCACCGACGCGGCACCGCGCCAUCACUAGCCAACCAACCACCAAAAUUGACAGCCGUGCUAGCUACCCACCACCACAAUACCCUACCACUGCCUGCUAAUACUCCACAAAAUCUUCUCAAGACUUCGAGCCACAGUGUCCAGGUUUGCUUUUUCAAGUCUUGCUUCUUUAAGUUUUUAGUAUCAUCAAGUCUUGCUUCUUCAAGUCUUAAAAGGUUAAAAUAACAAUUUUAGAUUUCAAAUCUUGCUUCUUUAAGUCUUAAAGUGUAUCUUCAGUCACCAAUUAUAUUUAUGGGUAUUCACCGGUUCGUUGAGUAAUUUUUUUCAAACAGAUGGGGUAUUGCGUCAUAACAACCUUGUAUAUAUCUAUAUCUAACAUUGAAUGAAUGAAUGAAUCUAUGUGUAGCUUACGAAAUGAAAAAUCAAGAGUAGUAACAAUUAAAGAACAAUUAAAAAUGAAAUGAAAGCUUAAUCACAAGUUGUCUAUUGAUUUACCUUUCAAUAAAUCUCUCUCUCACACUCACACACUCUGCUCUCUAACCUACCUUUUUGAUUUGGCUCCCAAAAAAAUAAUAAAGUAAAAUUUUGGUCCUAAGAAAGUUUGAUUUCUAAAUAAAGGGGAAAAAAAGUUAAAAGUGUUAACAUAAAUAUGUUAAUAAUAUUGAUUUUGAUGAUAACAAAUUUUAAAUGUAUUUUGACAAAAAUAUUGGAGCUAUUUCUUAAUAAACGAAAACCCUUUUAAUCAUUGCCUUAUUUCUUCAUAAAAGAUGGAUUUUCAAAUUAGAAAUAAAUUCUCUGCAAAAACUUGUUUAAAACUGCAAUUCUGGUCAUAAACGGUGAACCGUUUAUUUUAAACGGUUAACCGAUUAAAGGCAGAGAGUAACACAUUUCCUAAACCUCUAACCGUUUAUGGAAAACGGAAAACACAAUAGAUAGGGAGAUUACUGGAACUUAACGGUAAACCGUUUUAUUUUAAACGGUUAACCGAUUAUCACCAGAGAGCAACAUAUUACCUAAGCUCUAACCGUUUAUGCUUAACGGAAAACACCCAAGAUGGGAAGGCUACUGGAACCUAACGGUGAACCGUUUAUUUUAAACGGUUAACCGAUAACGUCCAGAAUUGAUGGUUGUCCUCAUCUGGCAUUGAUUAACGAAAACUGAUAAGGCUGAAUUGUUGUGCAGGUUACUGGGGCCAAACGGCAAACCGUUUAUUAUUAAACGGUCAACCGAUAAUACCCAGAGAAGCCACUUUAUGCAAUCCCCUAACCGCUAAAUGAAAACGGAUUAACUGAUGUUCAUUUUCCAGGUUACUGGAGACAAACGGCUAACCGUUUAUUUCAAACGGUUAACCGAUAAUAUCCAGAAACGCUACUUCAUGCAAGUCCUUAACCGUUUAGUGUAAAUGGAUAAUAAAUGCUCAUCUUGCAGGUCUCUGGACGUUAACGGCGAAAGGGCAACCCUAAACGGCAAACCGUUUAUUUGAAAUCUGGCCCAACGGUAACUUUGACCAGCCUAAACGGUUAACCGUUAAUGGUUAACGGCGAACCGUUUUCUGUCCGACAGUUUGUAACGGCUAGAUUUUCGGCUCCAAAUAUAAAUAAGCUCAUUCAAAUUCAAAGAAGAUUGAUCACAACACAACCAUUUGAGCUAAUAUUUGAGAAUACAAUCUUCAUAGAGCUUAGAACACAUUCUUGCUUCAUCUAUUCACAUAUUAAGCAUCAUUGAGUAAUCUUAUAUAUUGUGAGAGGCAAAACAAUUUGUAAUCUUUUACUUUGAGUGAUUGUAAGUGUUGGGAUACACUUGGGUUAAGAGAUUGGGGAUAAUCUCUUGUUGUAAAGGUCCAUUGACACCUUGGAAGUCAAGUGUAAGCAUUUGAAGCCUUGGAGGCUUGCUUAGUGGAAUCCUCAAGCCCGGAAAGUUUGGAGGCGUGGACGUAGGCAAGGUUGGCCGAACCACGUAAAAAUCUCGUGUUUGAAUCUCUCUUCCCUUAUCUUUUUAUAUUGUGAUCAUCUUAAUUGUUAUUGCUUUGAAUUUGAGUUAUAAUUGCAUUAAGAUUUUCUUUAAUAUUGAAUAAUUUUUUAGAAUCCCAAUUCACCCCCCCUCUUGGGUUGCUUACUUAUAUUUCAAAAAGAAAGUAAGAUUUAUUUUACAAAUUUUACGGUGCUUCUCUUUUAGAACUGUAUGUAUAAAUAAUAAUAAUAAUAAUAAUAAUAUGAGUUUCAUAGAAAAUUUAGUUUAUUUGAUUGUGUUCAUUGAUAUGCUUUAACAAUGCUUUAUUAAUUCUUUUUAUUUCUUUAGGAAAGAUUGAUAGAGUGGAUAAUAUCUAACUAAUUUUAUGAUAAAUGGCAAAACGUGUGGAAUAUAAUUGGAAAAAGAUUGAAAUAAUCUAUUUCAGAUUUUUAUGUCCUCUUGCGUUAGUUUAUUGGAUAUGCUUUUAUUAUAUGUCCGUAAUUUACUUUGUUUAGGCCAAAUAAAAUAUUUUUUGUUGGAUGGGGCAAUAUAUAGUAUAGAUGGCCUAGUGUAACUCACUAGAAGCUGCAAAUUCUUUGUAAUUUACAUAAUCUGUUUUUUUUUUUUUUAUCUGGGGUACAUGCACAAAGAUUUGGGUGCAUCCACUUCACACUUAUCAUUUUUAUACAAAAGAAACCACGUAGCACAUAUUAAAAUCACAUACACUUCACUUUUCAAAGAUUUAAUCCAACAAUAAAAAAAUUUCCGAUUUAAUCCAACAUCACAUGCAACUUCCUGUGGAGUUAAGUACCCAAAUUCCAUUAACUGAACACCAUGUCCCGAAUUUGAUUUACAAGAAAUGCUUUUACAAGAGAGGACAAGGAGAAAUUUGAAGUAAUAUGGAAUUCUCCAUAGACUUGGUUUUCUUGAUUUGCUAUUUGGCUUGUUGGCAUUCUCCAAUAUGUAAUAUGUUUGUACUAUUUUUGUAGAAGUUACGAAAAGACGAUGACCUCUACUUGAUUUGCUAUUUGGCAGGUUGCCAUCCAGCGCUGUGAGCCCUCUCGGUAAGGAUUGCAUUAUUUCAUCCAUGAAAGCAGUAAGUUACCCAAUUAAUUCAUUUGCUUGCAUCAAUUUGCUAGAUUGUUUUAUGUAGGUAUCAAUUGUUAUGUGUUAAAUGUCCCAAAGUAUAAGAAACCAAAAGAGAGAUGAGUACAAAGACAUGGGGUGUGUAUUAAAUAGACUAAUUUAUUGCGUCAAAUUGGAUAUUACAACCUACAGAAUCAGUAGAGAAUCAGUUAAAAAAAAUGAAAUGACAUGAAAAAUGAAAAAUGUUUAUGGCAUGUUUUGUUGGCUUGCUGAACAUGUACAUGUAUUUAAGUGACUUUAAACAAACAAAACAUGGCUUUGUUUUGCAAUUUGUAUCUUUUAUUUAAACUUGAAAAGUUUAAUCUUGCAUUAUGUCUACAGGGGGCGUUAACACCUAUGUUAGAUUAAUUACAUGCUUGGUAACCCAAACUUUAAUUCAUUAAAAAAAAUAUUUAUCAUUUAGCUAUGAAGCUUAGGAGUAUUCAUGCACAUGUAAGAAGUUCAUGUAUCUAGUCUCUAUACUUUUUUCUUGGGGGUUAAAUUUCAAAUAGGGUUUAAAAUUUUAAUCUUAAUACUUUUUUCUGUUCUAUAAAUGUGCAGCAAAAUUCUUUAGCAAACUGUGGAUGAAGUCAAAAGAAAUCCUUCCUAACUAGCACAUGCCGACUUUUAUGAAACUUGCAUUUUUUUCUCGUCUCCCAUGGGGAGUAGCUGAACCCAUUGAGGUAAUGCUUAAUUCAAUCAUUUCUUGAUGGUUUAUUAAAAUAUAGCAUAUAUGUUUUAUUGUCUUAUAUUCUGUACCUGUAUUUUGGAUUUGGAAUUUCUAUUAAUAGACUUCACUUUCUACCCAUAAAAUGAGAAUAUAAUUAUACUUUUGUAGCUAUUUUGAGCCACAAACAUAAAGAAUGUUCACCUUAGCAAAAAUAAGCUCCACCAUUUUUUAAAUAAUUGAUAGUGCACCGUGUCUAAGUGAAUGAUUGAAAGAUCUUUGUAAUUGAUCCAGUGAUCUUUCUUCAAUCUUUCCUUUUGGCUUCUUCAUCUCAAUGACCUUAAGCCAUUUUUUGUUCCUGUACCUUAAUAACUGAAUAUGUUUAGUUUCUUUUUGCAGAAGUGAAGUUUCUAAAAAGCUGGUGUUGUAUUUUGACCCCAGAUUGUUAUAAUUGUGUCUCGAAGAUUUGAUAGGAAAUUGGAAAGUACUGCAAGAGUUUGGUACUACACAUUUUUUUCUUAAGAAUACUUAUUUAAUUCAUCAGUGAUACCCUAAGAAUACUUAAGAUGAAAAGGAUUAAUAUCAAUUUUGAGCUUGUUAGGGAUCUUUGGUAAUUACUGUUAGGUAUGCUAUGUGCUGGUUCUGUUUAAUUCCAUGUUCUUGCUUUCCGUAAUUUCUAGAAAAUGUUGAGUGGUUGGUUACAGAUUAUUGUUUUAGUUAUAUUGACUUGUUAGUAAUUGGAUUUGAAGUUGGAUGUGAUGAGUACACAUUAUGGAUGAUCUUUCGUAACUUCUUGAUGAGUGGGCCGCAUAUGUUGCCAAGUUAUUUGUAGCAUACGAUAAUCAUGUAAUGUAUGAGUAUAUUUUUUAUUGUAAAUGUCCAAGACUUAAUUUGUCUGGCAUACUAAUUAAUUCUAUAUGUUACACUUGUAGGUGGGAAAACAAUGAAGUUCAAGGUGUAGAGGCAUUGAGGAAAAUUUUGUUGCCAACUAAAUACUUGUAUUUUUCUCAAAUCGAAUGUCUACUUGUGUGUCUUUCAAAACCAAGAGGUGGGCUUGGAAGCAGCCAUCCUUGGAAGAAAGCUUAAUAGUUCACUGGUCUAGCUCCAUGGCAUCGAAAAUGAAUCAGGGCUCCUAUAUUUGAGAUAUUCUGAAUUUAUAUGUUUCUUUAAUACUUGUUUGAAUUUGUAUUUGAUACAAUUGUAAAAAUAUAUAUACUACCAAUAUUUAAAUAUGAAUUGAAAGAUUUUGCAAUAUGAAUCGAGGUGUUUUUUUUUUUUUUUAGAUUUGUAGUGCCUUUUAAUUUUACCAACAAAUCAAUUAGUAAUGAGACAAUUUAAAUUUUUAUUUUUCUAAAUAAAUUAAAUAGUGAUACCAUGGUAAUAGUAAUCAUAGACACUAAUAUUAUAUCAACAAUUACUAAUACUAUAGCAUCAUAAUAUUAGUGAUACUAUAGUAACAAUAAUCACUAACACUAAUUACAAGUGUCACUAUUUUUCUGACUCCUAAAUUACUGAUACAAUUAACAAGUGUCACUAAAAGUAAUUGCUGACACAAUUCUAAUGUCAGUAAAGACUAUUUUUCUAGUAGUGUACUAAAACCUAUCAGAAGUCACUAUCCGAUUACCAAGAAAAAAAAAUUGGUAAUAAAAUACGAUAUUGGAAAUUCAAUGAUACGAUACUGCCACAGCGCAGCUGCCCCAAAAGCAUGCAAAGUGAGUCUAUUCGUGAUUUCAAAUGCUUGCAAACAAACAAAAAUAAGUAUUUAAAAUUUUUGCGGGGGUAGUUGCUCAAUUGCUUUUUCUCUCUCCGACCUAUUUUGUUGAGUUUGCAAGAGAUAAAAGAAAGAUUAUUUUCAGAUAUAAAGAGGGAAGGUGGAUGUAAAAACUGCGUGGUUGUUAAAAUGUUGAAACUGAGCUGAUAGACUUGUUUGGAUGCUGAGAAAAUUUAAAAGAAAAUGAAUAUUCUAGAUCUGUAUUUUAUUCUUUCUUAUUGUUUCGAAUACAUCAAAAACUAAACUACUGAUCUCAGUAAAAUGUUUAUAUACACAUGUCACUCUACACAUGAACAGAACGAGAACAACAUUAACUGAAUACAGAGAAUAUAACAAACUCUCGCUGAGCUGGCACUAAUACUCUCAAUUGCAAUGCUGACUGGACACAAAAUCACACGUGCCAAAUGUACAGCUUACUUGUAUGCUUGAUGUGCUUCCUUAACAGCCCCCCUCAAACUCAAGGGGCAUGGAUGCACAUUGAGUUUGACUCUAAAAUAAUUGAAAUGAGUAAACGUGAGAUGUCUACAAUCUACUCUUCACUUGGAAUAUAAUUGAUUUCCAGUUCUCCUGCUAACACUGUAUCUCUAACAAAGUGCAUGUCAAGCUCAAUGUGUUUUAUUCUCGAAUGAUAAACAGGGUUCUUAGCCAACUCUGUUGCACUUACAUUGUCACGCCAAACUACUGGUAAAGUGGUGCAUUUAAUCUUGAGCUCUUUAAGCAAUGAUUGUAUCCAAGUGAUUUAUGCACUUGCAGAGGCAAGAGCUCUAUACUCACUUUCUGCACUUGACCUUGUGACCACAAUUUGCUUCUUUAAUGACCAAGACAUCAGGUUGUUUCCAAAGUAAAUGCAGUAUGCUCCUAUCGAUUUCCUAUCAUCAAUAUCACAUGCCCAAUCUGCAUCAGUAUUACCUGCGAUUCUCAUUUCUCCUUCAGUUGAAAACUUUAGCCCAUAAUCUUCUGUUGCUUUUAAGUAUCUGAGAACUCUUUUGCAGGCUAAUAUGUGUUGAAGUGUUGGUGCUGACACAUAUUGACUCAGUUUGUAACUUGUUGCAUCUUCAAGAUAUUGUCCUAGAUGACCUUUAACCUCCUUCUGAAGCUUAUAACCUGUAACCAUUAGAGUAUCACAACCCUUGCAUUCCAACAUGUCAGUUUUACUCAGCAGAUCUCUAAUGUAUUUCCUCUGUGACAGGUACAUACCAUCUUUGGCAUAAGUGACUUUUAUUCCAAGAAAGUAUGACAAAAUUCCUGAGUUCUUUAAAGCAAACAUCCUGCUAAAUUCAGAGAUGAAUCUUUCCAGCUCCUUACUAUUUGCACUAGUAAUUAAAAUAUCAUCAACAUAAAUCAAAACCAGUAUUAUUGACCCAUGUAUCUCCUUAAAGAAAAGAGAUGUAUCAGCUUUAGAAUUUUGAAAAUUCCAGGUUGUGAUUAAAGAAUCUUUCAACUUGUCAUACCAGGCCCUAGGAGCUUGCUUCAAGCCAUACAAUGCCUUCUUCAGUUUACAAACAUGAUUGGGUUUCUGCAUAUCAAUAAAUCCCUCUGGCUGGCACAUAUAGACAUCUUUGGUCAGUUCCCCAUUUAGAAAAGCAUUGUUCACGUAAACUUGUCUUAUCACCCACUUAUUCAUUAUGGCUAAACUCAGCACAAUCCUCACAGUGCAUGAUUUUACAACAGGAUUGAAUGUCUCAAAGUAAUCAACUCCUUCUGUUUGCUGAAAAUCUUUUGCAACCAACCUAGCUUUGUACUUAGCUAUACUACCAUCAGUGUUCUGUUUAACUCUAAACACCCAUUUAUUUCCAACAACUUUGUACUCAGCUAAAGGUGGAACUAGUGACCAAGUUCUAUUUCUGAUCGAAGCUUCAUAUUCAUCUUUCAUUCCUUGAUGCCAAUUCUGAUCACAAAUAGCUUCUUGAAUUGUAUCAGGCUCCUUAUUGGUUAAAGUUGCAGUAUACAACUUAGGUUUGAAGAUUCUAAAUUUUGAUCUAGUAAUCAUUAUAUGAGAGGGUUGUAAAGUAAGGUUUCUGUUUGUGAUUUGUUGGAUGUUUAUUUGAUUUUCAGGUUGUGUUUGAAUUGGCUCUGGAUUUUGUGAAGGUAAAGAGAAUGAUGAUGAUUCUGAUAAAGUAUGAUUACCUUGCUCUUGUUGAUGGGGAAUGUCUAUAUGUACAGGUACAUAAGGUGUUUGUUGAUGUCCUGUUGAGCUUGCUGAGUAGAUAUCCUCAAAACUGCUGUGAGGUAAGAACAAUGUGGAUAAAUGAUAGACUUACUGUGGAGAAAAGUGUGACACUAAUACUGAUGCUUCAAAAUUUUUAUUGCAUUGAGACAAAUUGAAGGUAUUAUCAGUUGAAUAAGGGAACACGGUUUCAUCAAAUGUCACAUGUCUAAGUAUAUAAACUUGUCCUGAAUUGGUUAGACAUUUAUAGCAUUUAUGAGAUGGACUGUAGCCAAUAAAGAUACAUUUGCUCGUAUGAAAAUCAAACUUGUGCUUAUUGAAGUCUCUUAAAUAUGGAUAACAUAGACACCCAGAGCAUUUCAUAAAGGAGUAGUCUGGUUUAUGGUUGAACAACUUGUGUGUUGGAAGUCUGUUUAUAUGAUUUACAGUUGUAUGAACAACAUCCCACCAAAAUUUGAAAGGGAGAUUUGCCUGAGCUAAAAGGGUUAAUCAUAUCUCAACUAUGUGUCUAUGCUUCCUUUCAACUAAACCAUUUUGAUAAUGAGUGUAUGGACAUGAGUGUCUAAAAUGAAUCUCAUUUGAUUAAGAAAAUCAGUGAACACUCUAUAUUCCCCCCCCCCCCCAAUCAGAUUGCAACAUCUUGACUUGAGUAUUGAAUUAAUUUUCCACUUGAAAUUUAAACAACUUGAAAACCUUAAAGGCUUCAGAUUUGAGUUUAAGUGGAUAAAUCCAGGUAUAUCUGCUGUAAUUAUCAAUGAAACUAAUAUAGUACUUAUAACCAUUUCUUGAUACAGUAGGUGAGGGACCCUAUAGAUCAGUAUGUAUUAGUUCUAACACCUUUUUGGUUUUAAUUUCAGUAGUCGAAAAAUGUUGUUUAUGAACUUUACCCAGUUGACAGGCUUCACAUAAAAAAUGUGCAGAAGAGCUUUGAGAGAUUUUAAGCUUUGGACAAGAUUUAAGCAAAUGCAUCAGUAUUAUAGAGCUUGGAUGACCAAACCUUCUAUGCAACAAUGUCAUAUCAUCAGGUUUUUUGUUACAAUUAUUUUGAACAGCAUGAUAGCAAGCUUUAGUAAAAGAUGUACAGUUUUGAGAAGCUGAAGACACAUUUAAAAAGAACAAUAUAGACAUUGGUUUAUUCAACUGAAAAUGAGAUAUAUGAGAUGUAGGUGAGGAGGAGUUGGGUUUCAGCAGCAGCUUGUACAGACCUUUCUCAGCAAAGCCCUGCAGAAGAACUUGUCCCUUCAUGUCCUUUACAAAACAAAUAUUGCCACAGAAUUCAACAGAUAGAGAGUUAUCAGAAGUUGGUUUAGAAAUGCUCAACAGAUUUUUAGUGAUUGAUGGAACAAGUAACAUGUCUUUAAGUGCUAUAGUAGUGUGUGUAGAUUGUAUGGAUGAGUAUGGUGAAGCUCUAUAUGACAGAAAUGCAUUUCCAAUAUGAGAGAUAGGCAAACCUUGACCAUUUCCAAUAAUAAGAUGAUAUGUACCUUUAUAUUCCUCUCUAAGAUGCAGAUUAUCCAUGUUGUUGGUCAGAUGGUGAGUUGCUCCAUUGUCCAAGUACCAGCCAUCAUCAGCAGUCCCUUCACAGUUGGCUACAAAUGCUGCUGCAGUGUUAUAAGAAUCAACUCCAGAGUAACAGUUAGCAGAAGAGCUAGGAUAAAAACUUGGUGACAUGUAACUGGGAUUAUCAUAGUCUUCAUAGCCCUGGUGAGGAAUAAAACCAUCAAAAUUACUAAGAUAAGUUGCUCUUGGUCCUUUACCUUUUCCAAAACCUCUUGGUGUAGCCACAUAAUCUUCAACAAACCUAUGCCAACAAAUAUCAGCAGUGUGACCAGACUUAAAAUAGAUCUGACAUAUUAUCUCUUCUCCAUUUCCAGAACUUCCUUGUGCUCCAUUGAUACCGGUAAAUCCACCUCUAAUAACUUGUGAUGGAUUCCUAGGUGCUUGAAAGGAAUUGAAAGCAUUAGUCUGUCCAAGAGAAUAUCCUCUACCAUAUCCACCUCUGAAACUUCCAGUAUGCAACCUCUGAGGAUUAUUGUUGCCUCUACCAAAAGGAUAAUUUCUACCACCAAAAUUUCCAAAACUACAACCAGUAUAUCCUCCUCUUUUAAAAUUACCUCUAGAUUGAAUGUUGUGCAAAUUUUAAUGUACUCGCAAGCGCACGAAUCUAUUGUAGUAUAGAUCAAUGGUGACGAGUGUCGAUCCCACGAGGAGGUGAAUUUUAAUUAUAUGUAGAAUUAAUUUUGUAAAUGGGUGGUUGAAAUUGUGGUGGAAGUGAUUUAAAUUAUCCUAAAAUUGGAAUUGCAAUGGCGAGAAUAAAUUCUAGCGAAAUCUAUUGAAAUGACGUACUUGGGUACCUGGAUUCGUAUCAACAUGCAUCAUGGGCUAAAUAAUCCGUAUUAAUGCCAAUUAAAUCAUGAGGGGGGAAUCCACACCUCAUGAACCACGCUCUAAUCAAUAUGGUGCUAAGGGCUUAUUGUGCCAAAUAAUAAUAACCUUGUACUAGAGGGCCGGUGAAACCAAGGCGGUACUAGACAAUAUUAGUAUUAUUUGUCGACGAGAAGUCAAAACAUCCACAAAAACUAGAGGGGAAGAGAAAAUAAAUUUACCAAAUAAAGCCCAUGACACAUGUUGAAACUUCACCUUCAACCCAAGCUUGAAAGAAAAUUAGCUACUCAUAAUUGAAUUAGGGGCAAAAGGGAAAUUUAUUAAAAUACAAAGAAAAUACAAGAUGGAGAAGGAAUUACAGAAAACGGAUCCCAAAAAUGGAUUCAGAGCUCUCCAAUUAGAGGGGGAAGGCCCCCUUUUUAUAGAUACAUGGAGUAAAUCAUGGCCAUCGGAUUAAAAACAGUUUGGACGCUCAGGAUUGCGCCACGUCAUCAGUCAACAGUCCACGGUUUGACCACGCGGAUGAACAGUAACACGGUUUGACCCGGAUGAACAGUAACGCGGUUUGGUUGAAAAUAAUCCUGUGUGAUGCAUGCACCGUACGUGAGAUUUUUCGUCCACUGAUAUGCUGCCACGUCACCAUCAACAGUACAUAAGAAUUUUAGUCCAACAGGAUCGUGACACCUCAUCAGUCAAUGCCACAUCAUCGGUCAAUGCCACGUCAUCGAUCCGUCUAUGUGAACAGUGCCGUGAACAGUAACAUAUACAGUACUGUAUACGUGAAUAGUACCGUACAUGUGAAUAGUGCCAUUUUUCCUUUUAUGCUCCUCCUAAGGUUUUCGAUUGUCCUGAGUUCAAAAGUGAUGUCCGUUUUGCCGUCUGAUCUCUCCUUUAUUGUGAAAUGACUAUAAUGCCCCCUAAAAUAUAUAAAAUACUUAAUUAAAAUAACACACACGUAAUUACAUCACAAGAAGGUUAAAUACAUAAAAGUAAGAGUUGUUAGUAAGACUUGAAAUGUAAAAUGAUGGUUUUCUCCUUUAUAAAUAUGCAUUUUCUAACACUCAACACACCCCCCAACCAGCUUAUUGCUAGUCCCUAGCAAAUAAAGCGAAAACAAAAUUCAAAUUCAAAAUGAUUUUUUUUUUUGAAACACUCGUGUUUAUUCAAUCAGAUUAAUGAUAGCAAUCAAAUAAAAGUAUAAGAAUUAUCUCCAGUCUAAAGCAACAUCACACCCACAUCAACCAUCCACAUGAAUUAGCCCAGUAGACUUUGUUAUAGCUACUUUCAAGAAUGACAUGUCAAACCCCAAAAUCUCACUGGAAGUAGUGACACUCUCACAAAGAAAUUAAACCCAAUAAAAAUAGUCACUCCAAUGAAUGGUAAUUGAGAGAAAAUAAUAAAGAAGUGAUAUCACAUGCUCUCACCAAGAUGAAAGAAAUAUGCCCUCAGCUUAGAAAUAAUACGAUCUCAAGUCAAACAAAAAUGUUAGUCAACCCACUUUAUUUAUCUUUUUUUUUCUUUUUUUUUAUUAUGCAUCACUACAUCUUUUUAGCCCAUAUAACUAGCUUCUACUUCAAACUAUAGUUCCCUAAAAUCAAGAAGGACUUUUAUUAGGACGUAACGUAGGCUAGGGAUAUGGCUAACAAAGAAAGGAAAUAAGGAAAAUAAAGUGUAUGUUUGAGAAAAAUGCAGAGAAUUUUUUUUUUUUUUUGAAGUUGCAAGGUGUAUUUCACCUAUUAUUGUUAUUAUUUAUUUAAUUUUUUUUUACAACAAUUUUUUUUUGUUUUUGGCAUAACUUCACUAAACAAAAUAAUUAUUUACAUUUUCUCAAACAUAAAUAGGUGAUGGAACUUAUAAGAUAUCGGGUAAUACUCCAAGUCGGAGUGGGUCAAGAUGAUAAGUUGACAAAGAAAAGGUUUUUUUUUUUUUUUAAAGGCUCAAAAGGGGUAACUAUGGAUAUUUAAUAAAAGGGAUGGCUAGAAAGGCUCAAACGGAUCAAAGAUGGCAUUUCCAUCGUCUUUUAGGGCUCUAAAUAAUUAUCCAUAUCUACUAAUUAGAUGAGCCUCCCAAUGUAGCAACACACAUUUUUUUCUUUUUUCUUUUUUUAAUUUUACCAUUUUUUUUUAAAGGGUUAACUCAAAAGAAAUCUAGAGAUCGUGUAUAAAAUAAUAAACUGCUAAGCUGUAUAGAGAAUGGGCAAAAGGGUUACUCUCCAAGAAAAUGAUAGGCUCAACAACUCACUUGGCACUUAUUUAUGACAUGUUCAUUCCUUCAAGCAACUCAUAUUUGUCUCCGACAUCAACAUGUAAAGUAGCAAACAUAGCAUAACAUCACUUAAGACCAAAGAUAAUACAAAUACUAAAAUUUGAAAUUAAUCAUGUCAUCCAAUGUUAAAACAAAUAACACAAUUUUUUUUAAACAACAUUCUACCCCCCCAACCUAUUCUAAACAUGAAAGGAAAAUAUACAUGCAGAAAUGUGAAAAUGAUGUAGAAAAAUUAAUUAGAAAAAGAAUUUUUUUUUUAAACUAAGAAGAUGCGUUUCUAGAGGCACUACACUCCAUAUUCAGCCAUCUUCGACUCAAAAAUUUGAAACUAUAUAUUUAUAAAGGAGAAAGAGGAAGAAAACGAUUUUUUUUUAAAAAAAAAAACGAUGAAGAUGCGUUUUUAGAGUAACUACACUCCAUAUUCAGCCAUCUUCAACACAAAACAUUAGCAACAGUUAGUUUCUACAACAAAAAAAUCAAUAAAAACUUAACCAAGAUUCCACAAUUGUCGACUAUUCCCUCCCCCCAACCAGAACGAAACAUUGUCCUCAAUGUUUUAAAGGAAAGAAGUAGAGUUUAGAAGACAUCACCUGGGUGGUGCAACACAGAAGAAAAUAUUUACAGGCGGAGAGUUAAAUCUAAUUUGUACUUCUUACAGUAGCUACUGUUACCAUCAUUAUUUGGUCGCUCCAACACAAAGGUCCAGGGGUCUGGCUCCGGUUUAUAAGCUUGUAACAUAUCAAGUAGCUCAUUAGCAGUGUGAGUACAAAUAAAGAGUUUUUUCACAUUAGAAGGAAUGAAAUAGUUUUUUAUUGCAUGGUUAAGAAAUGCGAUAAAGCCAUCAUAAAAGUUAUUGACAUUUAACAAACCGAUGGGUUUCUGGUGGAUGUGCAGAUGGGCCCAAGAUGCUAGUGUAAUAAGUGCCUCUAGUGUUGCAAGAUCUCCUGGAAGGAAAAUAAAAGCAUCAGCAUGAUUAAGCAUUUCAGUUAUUCUUUCUUGCAUACCUGAGACGACUAACUCUUCUCCAAUUGAUGAGUCAGACGAACUGCCCAAUGGUUUUAGGACUCUUGGGAUAAUGCCUAACACUUGACUUCCUCUGAUAAAAGCUGCUUCUGAGACCAUUUUUGAUAAUCCUCGGUUACCUCCUCCAUACACUAAGUGUAAUUUUCUCGCUGCUAUGCUUCGACCAAGAUCUAUGGCUGCCUCCACGAACUCUUUAUGUUUGCCAUAGGUAAAUUCAGAAAGCACACAAAUGUUCUUGAAUUGUCUAUUGGGAGUAGCUACCAUUGUGAUACUUCUCAAAAACAAUUUGUGAGUGCUUGACAAAAGAUAAAUCACAUUUAAGAAUCUUGGUGACAGUGGAUCACAGCUGUGAAUGAGGUAACAUGUCAGUGUCAAAUAACGCGUAAAGCACGUGGCUCGCGAGUCAAAAAGGAAACAGUAAAAAGGAAAAAGGAAAAAGCAAACAGUAACAAAAUUAUUAAAGACAAUAAUGCAAACAAUAAAACAACAGUGAAAUGAAAUAAAAUAACAGUAAAGUAAAAGGAUAUUUACACGUAGUUGCGACUGUGGCUCACAUCUUCCUCUGGUUUUACGUCCAGAAACGGCUUGAACGCCCUCUAUGGGUCGAGGAUGGGCUUCCCAUCCAGUUUUCUUAUAAACUUGCAAACAGGGUCGUUUAUAGUCAGAUUCCCGAGACUAUAUCGUGCAUGCUCUUUCUGGAAUAAUGGCCAUAACUGGAGAAUCGCUCCUUGCACAUAUCCACUGGGAUGCGUUUCAAGAGACAGAAGCAUAUCAUCCAAUGACUCCUUAUUCAAGCCAUCCCCUAAUGAAUUGAAUCUUAUCUUCUCUGUUAUCAGACACCAUUCCUAAAGAACAUGGGUUUCUAUCGCAACUCAUUCUGGCACACUUAUGACAAGCAACAUAAAUUCUUCGAGCUCGUCGUUUUCUUGCAUAAUUUUCUUUACCACAACCAGGCAUGUAUGCAAUAAAUUUAGGAGGUAACUCACCUGCCAAUCGUACUUUCGCCUCGAUUAACCAACGGAUGUCAGCAGGUAUGUUAUUCCUCAUGAGUGAUCGUAUGCGUUCGGAUCGAGCUUUAUAAAUCGUAAGGAGGGCAUUCUGAGGAAGUGAAGGGAAUCGCUUGUGAAGCUUCGCUAGAAUCUCGUUUCUGUCCAUACUUUCGCCUCAGAAUGUCAGUUAUUAUGGGAAACUGAAGUAACCGACUUGAUUGUCACGGAGUACCGUUAUCCGCCACUUCACCGGGGUAACAAACUAAAGCACACAAAUAGAAAAACAAAUUAAAACACACAAAGAAAAUUAAAAUCGUCCUCUUAUUGAAUUUACCUCAAGCUCUAACUGGAUGUCGUAAACACUUCUCUCAAUGUCUCUGAGUUGGCGUUCUAAACCCUCAACAUAGGCUACUAACUCUGGUGGUUGUAGAACCCAAAUACGAUGUGUUUUACAAAAUUGAAUUUGCCUUUUGAGAUGAGUUUUGACAUGUUGAAGUGGUUUAGGAAUGUUCAUGAGGAACGGUCUAAGUAAGGUACUCAUGAUUAAAAAUGAUAAGAGAAAACUUAAUUGUUAAACAAACACACUUAUGCAAAAAUAAUUUCAAUUAGCAAAAGAAUAAUAAAAAGAAAGAAAGAAAAAUCAAAUCAACGAAAAGAAGAAUAAAAUCAAUUCAAAUCUGGUGGGUCACUCAAAUUUAUUUCGGUGUCUUCUCCAUGUGGUUGGUAUUCUAGAUAUGGCUUUAAUCUUUGACCAUUAACUUUAAACGUGACACUAUUUUUUGGGUCAUUAAUUUCAAUUGCCCCAUGUGGAAAAAUAGUAUGAACAAUAAAUGGACCAGACCAUCGAGAGCGUAACUUACCUGGGAAUAGGUGCAAGCGAGAAUUGAAUAAAAGCACUUUCUGACCUGGAGUGAAAGAUUUUCUCAUAAUGUGCUUGUCAUGAAAGACUUUCAUUCGUUGCUUGUAAAUUUUGACAUUUUCGUAUGCAUCAUUGAGAAUUUCUUCAAGUUCUGCCAGUUGUAAUCUUCUUUCUGAGCUGGCUUGCUGCAUGUCAAAGUUGAAUUUCUUGAUGGCCCAAUAUGCACGAUGCUCGAGUUCCACAGGUAGGUGGCAAGCUUUUCCAUACACUAGCCUAUAAGGUGACAUCCCAAUCGAGGUCUUGAAAGCCGUUCUAUAUGCCCAUAAUGCAUCAUCAAGUCUUAAUGACCAAUCUUUUCUGUCUGGCCUCACCGUCUUUUCUAAUAUGUGCUUUAUUUCUCGAUUGGAGAUCUCAACUUGGCCACUGGUUUGCGGAUGAUACGGGGUUGCCACUUUGUGUGUGAUUGAAUACUUUGUCAAAAGAGCUUUGAAUGCUUUGUUACAAAAGUGGGCACCACCAUCACUGAUUAUUGCUCGAGGGAAUCCAAAGCGCGAAACAAUGUUGCUUUUCAAAAAUCCUAUCACCACUUUGUGAUCAUUGGUUCUGCAUGGAAUUGCUUCCACCCAUUUCGAUACGUAAUCAACACCAACCAAUAUGUAUUGAUAGCCAAAAGAAGGAGGAAAGGGUCCCAUGAAGUCGAUACCCCAUACAUCAAAAAUCUCAACCACUAAAAUUAGAUUUAGUGGCAUCAUGUUCCUUCGUGUAAUGCUCCCCAUUUGUUGACACCUAUCACAUGAAGAACAUAAAGUGUAAGCAUCUCGAAAUAUAGUUGGCCAAUAAAAACCAUAUUGUAAAACUUUAGUCGCCGUUUUCUUAGCAUUGAAAUGGCCUCUACAAGCUUGUUCAUGGCAGAAUGAAAGGAUAUUCUGAAUUUCACUUUCUGGGACACAUCGUCUAACAAUUUGGUCUGCACAAUACUUGAACAAAUACGGGUCAUCCCAAAAGAAAUUCUUUAUUUCUGCAAAGAAUUUAGCCUUGUCUUGCUUGGUCCAAUACUCCGAAAGUUUACCUGUAACAAGAUAAUUAACUAUAUCAGUAUACCAAGGUAAUACUUCUACACUCAUUAAUUGUUCAUCUGGAAAUGACUCAUUCAAUAUUAAUGGCUCUAUAAUUGUGUCAAAAUGGAGACGAGAGAGGUGGUCCGCCACAACAUUUUCUGUCCCUUCUUAUCUUUGAAUUCCAAGUCAAAUUCCUGCAAAAGUAACACCCAACGAAUUAGUCUAGCUUUUGCAUCUUUCUUUGUGAGAAGAUAUUUAAGAGCAGCAUGAUCUGUGAAUAUAAUUAUUUUACAACCAAUGGGAUAAGAUCGAAAUUUCUCUAAUGCAAACACUACUGCUAGCAUUUCUUUUUCAGUAGUUGAAUAGUUCAACUGUGCAUCAUUCAAUGUCAUACUAGCAUAGUAAAUAACAUGGGGAAUUCGAUCAACUCUUUGUCCUAAUACUGCUCCUACUGCAUAAUCAGAUGCAUCACACAUGAGCUCAAAUGGUAAGCUCCAGUUUGGGGCCUGAAUGAUGGGUGAUGAUGUCAACAAUUGCUUUAAUUUUUCAAAAGCCAUAAGACAUGAAUCAUUAAAGAUAAAAGGUACAUCCUUAGCAAGUAAAUUGCAUAAGGGUCUAGAAACUUUGCUAAAAUCUUUAAUGAAACGUCUAUAGAAACCAGCAUGCCCAAGGAAAGAUCUUACUUCUCUGACUGUUUAAGGUGGAGGAAGAUUAGAAAUGAGAUCCACCUUGGCUUUGUCAACCUCAAUACCUUUGCUCGAAAUGAUGUGACCGAGAACAAUACAUUGUUUUACCAUAAAAUGGCACUUCUCCCAAUUCAAGACUAAGUUCUUCUCGGUACAUCUCUGCAGAACUAGCGUUAGAUGAUGUAAACAUUAAUCAAACGAAUCACCAAAGAUAGAAAAAUCAUCCAUAAAGACUUCAAGGAAUCGUUCAACCAUAUCAGAAAAAAUGCUCAACAUGCAUCGUUGGAAUGUAGCAGGUGCAUUACAUAAUCCAAAUGGCAUUCUCCUAUAUGCAAAAGUGCCAAAAGGGCAAGUGAAAGUAGUUUUCUCCUGAUCUUUUGGUGCUAUGGGAAUCUGAUUAUAUCCUGAGUAGCCAUCUAGAAAGCAAUAAAAUUCAUGGCCUGCUAAUCUAUCAAGCAUUUGAUCAAUAAAUGGUAAAGGAAAAUGGUCUUUACGUGUGACAGAAUUCAACUUUCUAUAAUCAAUGCAUACACGCCAUCCUGUAGUUACUCUAGUUGGUAUCAAUUCAUUAUCAGCAUUGGUAACUACUGUGACUCCUGACUUUUUGGGGACAACUUGUACAGGACUGACCCAUGAACUAUCAGAAAUUAGGUAAAUGAUACCUGCGUCUAAUAGCUUAAGGACUUCAGUUCUAACAACUUCUUUCAUAUUAGGAUUUAACCGACGUUGCAUUUCCCUAGUAGAUUUAGCAUUUUCAUCAAGGUGAAUGUAAUGCAUGCAGUCUACUGGAUUUAUACCUUUGAUGUCUGCUAGGUCCAUCCUAAUGCUCCUUUGUGCUUUUUUAAAACAUCCAACAACUUAUCUUUUUGUUCGUCGUUUAGGGAUGAUGAGAUGAUUACCGGUAAAGUGCUUUCUUCUCCCAAAAACGCAUAUUCCAAUGUGUUGGGUAAUGGUUUGAGCUCGAGUUUCGGUGGUGAUUCUGAUGAUGGGAUGAGUUUCUUCUCUAAUGGUGCUAGUUGUUCAACUCUUGACUUCCAUUUAUUAGUGUCCAUGUAUGGUGCUGAGUCAAGCAGGGCGUUGACCUCAUCGACCGAUAUGUCAAUAUCAAAAUCCAAACCAAAGUGAGUUAAAUAUGUUUGUAAAGGAUCAUCACUAAGGUUUGAAACAAAAGUGCCAUCAACUAUUGUUUCUAUUAAAUCCACAUUAACAAUUCCAUCAUCUGCAUUAUGAGGUUGUUUGGCAAUGUUGAAAAUGUUUAGCUCCAUAGUCAUGUUGCCAAAGGAUAACUGCAUAUUUCCAGUCCUGCAUUGAAUAUGAGCAUCCGCAGUUGCCAAGAAAGGUUAGCCUAGAAUAAUGGGGAUGUGCUUCCUUGAAUCCUGUAUUGGUUGAGUGUCAAUUACAAUGAAAUCAACAGGAAAAUAAAACUUGUCUACCUGGAUAAGCACGUCCUCCACAAUACCACGAGGUAUUUUCGUGGACCGAUCUGCAAGCUGUAACACCACUGGAGUUGGGUGUAAUUCUCCAAGUCCAAGUUUCACGAAUACAGAGUAAGGCAAAAGAUUUACACUAGCUCCUAAAUCCAACAAAGCAUUCUCAAUUGUGUGGUUCCCUAUACUACAUGAGAUAGUGGGGGAGCCUGGGUCUUUGCAUUUUAAAGGAAUUUUAUGUUGGAGUAUAGAACUAACGUUUUCUGUUAAAAAUGUCUUCUUUUAAAACAUGCAUAUUUCUCUUUUUAGUACAAAGGUCUUUAAGAAACUUGGCAUAAGAUGGAACUUGUUUAAUAGCAUCAAGUAAAGGGAUGUUAACACUUACCUGUUUGAAUAUUUCGAGAAUCUCACAUGUGGAUUUUCCCUUCUUUCCUUUAGCUAAUCUCUGAGGAAAUGGAGCUUUAGGAACAUAUUCUCGUGGGUUGGUUUCUUCUUUUUCCUCCGGUGGUGAGUCCUCAACAUUCACAGGUACAAUUUGAUUUUCCUUUGUCACCGGCAUCUCCACUUUGUUGUCGACUUCUUUUCCUUUUCGCAAGGUCAUGAUUGCUUUGACCUCUCCAUGCUGCUGUGGUGAACUGGUACUUGCUUCAUGUACUCCUUUAAGAUUAGGCACUGGUUGACUUGGAAACUUGCCUUUCUCAACAGUCAUUGCCGAGGUCUGAACUGAAGAAGCAAGUUGUCCCACCAUCUUCUCGAGGCUUGAAACUGAUUGGGCUUGUGAGUUGAAGCCUGCUCUCAACUCAUUUCGUAGUCCAUCAAUGGUGCGGUUCUGUUGUUCAAUCGUGGAGUGAGUAACAUUCUUGAAAUUCUGGAAUGAAUCCUCCCAUGGUCUGGGUUGAGAAUGGUUCUGGUUCUGAUUGUAUGGUCUAAAUGGUGGCUGAGAGGCUUGAGGAUUUUGAGGAAUUGGUUGCAUUGGUGGAGCUGGAGCUGCUGGUCCAUUCUGUUAGAAUCAUUGAGACCAUGAAAAAUUGGGGUGGUCUCUCCAUCCAGGGUUAUAUGUGUUGGAGUAUGGGUUGUAAUUAGAUGGCUUUCUCAUUACACAUAUGGCAUUGACUUGAUCUGAGUAUGAGUCAUGGUCAUGUGGUUCUGUUGAUUUAGCAGUCGAUAACGAUGCUAUUUGUCGAGCAAGACCUUCAACCAUCUCCUUGACUUCUUUGAUUCCCGAAGUUGACUCGCCAAUUUGAACCUCAUUUACUCCCUUAAUUUUUCUAGUAUUCCUGAGUGAUCGACUCCGUUGUUGGGAAUUAUCCGCUUGUCGCUGGAAGAAUUCCCAAAUCUCUGAUGCACUUUUUGACAUUAGCUCUCCUCCACUUGUUGCCAUUAGCCAUUCUUGCACAUUCGACAAUAAUCCCUCCAAAAAGUAUUGGCAUUGGUGCCAUUUCUCGUACCCAUGAUGUGGACACUUCAAGAGUAGCCCAUUAAAUCGCUCCCAUGUUUCGAAAAACUGCUCGUCCUCUCUUUGUGUAAACUCUGAAAUUUCCUUGCGAAUAGAAUUGGUUUUAUGCACUGGGAAAUAUUUAUUUAGAAAUUUUGUAACAAUUUGUUCCCAUUAUGCAAUGCUAUUAGCAGGCAAAGUAUUUAACCAUGAACGAGCUCUAUCCUUUAAAGAAAAUGGGAAUAAUCUGAGUUUAACAUCAACGUCUGAAAAAUUUUCAUAUUUAAAAGUUUGACAAAUGGUAUGAAAAUCAUUCAGAUGAUUAUAUGGGUCCUCAUUUUCUAAGCCAUAGAAUGUGGGGAGACAAUUUAGCACACUAGGUUUUAGUUCAAAGCUCCUAGCAGCUACAUUUGGGUAUCUAAUACAUGAUGUGCUCAAAUUAGCUAAGGGACUAAAAUAGUCCUUAAAUGGCCUCUCCUGUGGUUGUAAAUCCAUUUUAUUUUUAACGUGUUUGUGUGUGCGAAGUAUUUUUUCUAAUUCAAGGUCUAUAGGUUCAAGAUUAGGUAAUAAUGACCUACGACCAUGCAUGCAAAACAAAUAAAAUAAAAAUAAAGAUGGGAACAAAACGAAUAAAAAUAAAGAAAAAAGAGAAAUUACUAUACUAACCUUAUCGCACUAUUACAACCUUUCUAUAAAAAUACACAAAAAUAAAUACGUGAAAUAAAUUAACUAACAAUAAAUUAAUAAGAUAAACAAAAACAAAAAAAAAAUUACAAAGAAAAAUAAAUUAAAAAUUAAAUUACAGAAUUUUAAAGAAGAGAAAAAGAAAAGAAAUACUAACCUUUAAAUGUAGAUUCACUCUUUUUUUUUAUUUUUUUUUAUUAAAAAAAAUACAAGAAAACAAUUAAAAAAAAUUAUUCACAAAAAUUAAUUCUAUGAAUUAAAAUUACUUACCUCCCCGGCAACGGCGCCAAAAACUUGUUGUGCAAAUUUUAAUGUACUCGCAAGCGCACGAAUCUAUUGUAGUAUAGAUCAAUGGUGAUGAGUGUCGAUCCCACGAGGAGGUGGAUUUUAAUUAUAUGUAGAAUUAAUUUUGUAAAUGGGUGGUUGAAAUAGUGGUGGAAGUGAUUUAAAUUAUCCUAAAAUUGGAAUUGCAAUGGCGAGAAUAAAUUCUAGCGAAAUCUAUUGAAAUGACGUACUUGGGUAUCUGGAUUCGUAUCAACAUGCAUCAUGGGCUAAAUAAUCCGUAUUAAUGCCAAUUAAAUCAUGAGGGGGGAAUCCACACCUCAUGAACCAUGCUCUAAUCAAUAUGGUGCUAAGGGCUUAUCGUGCCAAAUAAUAAUAACCUUGUACUAGAGGGCCGGUGAAAUCAAGGCGGUACUAGACAAGAUUAGUAUUAUUUGUCGACGAGAAGUCAAAACAUCCACAAAAACUAGAGGGGAAGAGAAAAUAAAUUUACCAAAUAAAGCCCAUGACACAUGUUGAGACUUCACCUUCAACCCAAGCUUGAAAGAAAAUUAGCCACUCAUAAUUGAACUAGGGGCAAAAAGGAAAUUUAUUAAAAUACAAGAUGGAUAAGGAAUUACAGAAAAUGGAUCCCAAAAUGGAUUCAGAGCUCUCCAAUUAGGGGGGGAAGGCCCCCUUUUUAUAGAUACAUGGAGUAAAUCAUGGCCAUCGAAUUAAAAACAGUUUGGACGCUCAGGAUUGCGCCACGUCAUCAGUCAACAGUCCACAGUUUGACCACGCGGAUGAACAGUAACACGGUUUGGUUGAAAAUAAUCCUGUGUGAUGCAUGCACCGUACGCGAGAUUUUUAGUCCACUAAUAUGCUGCCACGUCACCAUCAACAGUACAUAAGAAUUUUAGUCCAACAGGAUCGUGACACCUCAUCAGUCAAUGCUACAUCAUCGGUCAAUGCCACGUCAUCGAUCCGUCUAUGUGAAUAGUGCCGUGAACAGUAACAUAUACAAUACCGUAUACAUGAAUAGUACCGUACAUGUGAAUAGUGCCAUUUUUCCUUUUAUGCUCCUCCUAAGGUUUUCGAUCGUCCUGAGUUCAAAAGUGAUGUCCGUUUUGCCGUCUGAUCUCUCCUUUAUUGUGAAAUGACUAUAAUGCCCCUAAAAUACAUAAAAUACUUAAUUAAAAUAACACACACGUAAUUACAUAACAAGAAGGUUAAAUACAUAAAAGUAAGAGUUGUUAGUAAGACUUGAAAUGUAAAAUGAUGGUUUUCUCCUUUAUAAAUAUGUAUUUUCUAACACUCAACAUUGAACAUAAAAAGCCUUGGGAUAGUAGCAUAAUUUGCAUUAAACAUACUUUUAUCAUUUUGUUCUUGCUCUAGCCUAGUUUCAUGUGUAAGUAACAAUGCAUAUGCAUUAUCAUAUUCCAUUUUAGAUCCAGUUAUGAAAGUAGCAAUAUCACGAAAACCUGGUCCUAGUCCAUUCAGUAUGGUUAACAUAAGAUCUUUUUUUGUUAUAGGACUUCCAGCACUAGCAAGCUUGUCAGCUAUAGAUUUCAUUUUGAUGCAGUAAUCUUCAACAUUUAAUGAUUCCUUUUUAAGAGUAUUCAAUUCAUAUCUAAGUUGAAGAACUCUAACUUCAGAUUGCACACCAAAGUUUCUUUCUAGAGUUCUCCAAACAUCAAAAGAGCUAGUACAAUUUAAAACUAAGCUUAAAGUACCUUCAUUUAUUGACGACAAUAACCAUCCGAGUAGAGUUUGAUCCUGUGAUUUUCAAUUCUGAUAUUCUGGAUUAUCAAUUUUCUGAGUAUAUCCAUCAACUCCAGCAAGAAGGAGAUACUUCUCAGGUGUUGGUUUGUCUCAAGUGAUGAAGUCCUCCAACCGAUUGCCUCUGAUUGAAGCUAAAACUUGUGAACGCCAUAUCAGAUAGUUUGAGCGAUCUAAUUUGAUUGGAUUAGUAAAAGAAAAAUUGAUUUGAGUGUAUGGAUUUGCAUUAGUGAUUUGCUUAUUACUAGAGCUUGCUCUGUUUGGCUCUGAUACCAUGUUAAAAUGUUGUGUUGUGAAUUUGGCUUUGAUACGACUAACCAAAUUCUCCCCAAGACACUAAUUCUGUAUCAAUGGUUUGAGAAUUAACAGCACAGAUUAUCGAGCAACAAUCACACGCAAGAACCAAAGCAUUAAAGAAACAAUAUGACACCAAGUAUAAGUGGUUCAGCACCAAGAGGUGGUGCCUACAUCCACUGGAAACAAAGCAACAGUCUUUCACUAUUUAGUUCACAAAACAAUACAAGAAUAGGAAUUGAUUUACAAAGAACAAGAACUUGUAAACCCCUUUCUCUCUCUAUCUUCUCUCUACUCUCAGUGUUUCCCAAAUCAUGUGAAGACGAUGACAGAGCCUGCACCUUUUAACCUCUGUUUCUGGGUUGUUACACUAAUUACCCUUCCCGCCAAAACUAACCAAGAAGCUCCUCUCUCACGUGCUUGUCACAAGUUGGCAUAAGUGAGCUUGAAACGGCAAUUACAGAUGUCGUUCUUGAGCUAACGAGAUUUCAGCUUCACCACACGUGCAAACCACGUGUAUUACUUAAAGGUUGAAUGACCAAAGAGAGGAUGUCGGUUUUACUCUGAAGAACUUCUCAAGCGACAAGUCGGCUGAGACUGAAUCCUCUAAACGACUUGUAGCACUUGAGUUUCGAGUUCACUGUUCAUCAAUCUCCACCUUGAACUCAGAACUCUAGCUAUUCUUGUUUACUUCAUUCCCUUUCCUUUGCAGCUAAUCAGAAGCUGCAAAUUCCUGCUAAGCUCAAACAGAAGUUGAGCUUGGCAGAUGGCACAGCUUUAGUCAACAUAUCAGCUGGAUUUUGAUCAGUGUGAACUUUGAGCAUCUUCAUAGUUCCCUUUGAAACUUCAAGUCUAACAAAAUGCAGCUUUACAUCAAUAUGUUUUGUUCUUUCAUGAUGGGUCUGGUUUUUACUCAAGUGUAUUGUACUCUGGCUAUCACAAUAUACUUCAACUGUUUCUUGUUUUGCUCCCAACUCUGAGACCAUUCCCUUUAACCAUAUAGCUUCCUUAAAAGCUUCUGCAGCUGCUGUAUAUUCGGCUUCAGUUGUGGACAAAGCCACUACAUUUUGCAGAGUAGCUUUCCAGUUCACAGUGCAGCCUCCCAAAGUGAAUAUAAAACCUGUCUGAGACCUUCUUUUAUCAAGAUCUCCAGCGAAGUCUGAGUCAACAUACCCCACCAGCUUGUGCCCUUCCUGUUUUAACCCUCCAUAUAGCAGACCAAACUCCAUAGUGCCUUUUAGGUGCCUCAUUAUCCACUGGACUCCCCUCCAAUGCUCAUAGCCUGGAUUUGCCAUGAAUCUACUCACUAUACUCACAACAUGUGAGAUAUCUGGUCUAGUGAGAACCAUGGCAUACAUGAGGCUCCCAACUGCACUGGAGUAAGGUAUCCUUGCCAUUUUUCCUUGCUCUGCAUCAGUUUGUGGACACUGUGCAGCAGACAGUUUAAAGUGAUUUGCCAAAGGUGUUUGAACAGACUUAGAUUCAUGCAUCCCAAAUCUAAGCAACACCUUCUUAACAUAGCUCUGUUGGGUUAAAAACAUAAGCUUCCUUCUUCUGUCUCUUAUAAUUUCCAUACCUAAGAUCUUCCUUGCAGCUCCAAGAUCUUUCAUAUCGAAUUCACUGCUCAAGAGAUCCUUUAAAUGAUUGAUUUCAUCUAUGCUGUGACAUGCUAUAAGCAUGUCAUCCACAUACAGCAUAAGAUAGAUCAUCUUUCCAUCACCAAUGUCCCUAAAGUACACGCAACAAUCAUAAUUGCAUCUCUUGUAGGCAUGCUUUGUCAUAAAACUGUCAAACUUCAAGUACCAUUGCCUAGGAGACUGCUUUAAUCCAUAUAAAGAUUUCUUCAGUAAGCACAUAUGAUCUUCCUUACCAGACACCACAUACCCCUCAGGCUGUUCCAUUACAAUUUCUUCUUGUAAUUCACCAUGCAGGAAGGCUGUUUUAACAUCCAUCUGCUCCAGAUACAUGUCUUGAAUGGCAACUAAAGCUAAGAUAACUCUGAUGGAGGCAUGUUUCACCACUGGAGAGAAGAUUUCAUUGAAAUCAAUCCAUUCUCUUUGUGUGAAGCCUCUUGCUACCAGCCUAGCUUUAAACCUACUAGGUUCAGCAUCAGACAUUCCUUCCUUAACUUUGAAAAUCCAUUUGCAGCUAACAGUCUUCCUUUUCUCUGGUCUAACUAUCAGCUUCCAAGUUCCAUUUUUCAUCAGUGAUUCAAUUUCCUCAUCCAUAGCCUUCUUCCAUUUCAGCUUAUCCUUACUGUUUAUAGCUUCUUUAUAAGUUCUUGGCUCUUCCUCAUUUACCUCUUGUGCAGCUGUUAAUGCAUAAGCUAUCAAAUCUGCUACUGCAAACGUCUUAGGUGGUCUUACAUCUCUCCUCUUUCUAUCCCUGACCAACUGAUAAGAGUUAUUUUCAUUCUCAGCUGGCUCUGACUCCUGAACACCAUCAGAUCCAUCAGCAACCCUUUUUGUAUCUUCUUCAGUUUCUGAUUCAGUCCUAUCUUGUUCAUGGGACUCCACCUCAAACUGAACACUCCCAGGUCUUGUUUCUGAUCUAUAAUCUUUGGAUUCAGUGGAUUUGGAUUUGUUCAAGAUUUCUGUUUCAUUGAAAGUUACAUCCCUGCUGAUAAUGCAUUUUGGUGGCUUAAGAUCAAUGCACCAUAGCCUAUAGCCUUUGACUCCAUCAGGGUAUCCCAGAAACCUACACCUUAAAGCCCUUGGCUCCAAUUUGCCUUGUUUGACAUGUGCAUAAGCAACACAACCAAAAAUCCUUAAUUUUAAGUAAUCUGCAACCCUUUCAGACCAUAGCUCAAUAGGUGUUUUGCAUUCUAUUGUUGUGGAUGGACUUCUAUUUACCAAGUAACAUGUUGUAUUUAAGGCCUCUGCCCAGAGUGACUUAGGCAGCUUUGAGUAUAGCAGCACACACAUCACCUUGUCCAUUAAGGUCAUGUUCAUUCUCUCAGCAAGACCAUUUUGCUGAGGUGUGUGUAUGACUGUUUUGUGCCUCAUAAUCCCAUGUCUUUCACAGAAGUCUCCAAAGUCUUUGUUGCAGAAUUCCAAUCCAUUAUCUGUUCUGAGAACUUUUACUUUCAAGCUUGUCUGUGUUUCUACCAGAAUUUUCCACCUCUUAAACCUUUCCAAAACUUCAUCUUUAGUUUUGAGUGCAUACACCCAAACCAUCCUUGAAUAGUCAUCUAUUAGGGAUAAAAAAAUACCUACAGCCACCAAGGGAAUCUACUUGUGCAGGUCCCCACAGAUCAGAGUGUAUAUAUGCAAGCCUCUCCUUGGUAGAAUGAACUGCAGAUUCAAACUUGAGCCUGGAAGCCUUCCCUAGAAUACAGUCUUCACAGAACCCCAAAGAACUUAGCUUGUCACUUCCAAACACCCCCUUCUUUUGAAGCUCCUUCAAUCCUCUCUCACUCAUGUGCCCCAACCUCAAGUGCCAUAGUCUUGCUUUAUCUUCACUCUUCUCAGUGACACUUGCCUCUCCAACAGUUGUAUGUCCAUUAAGCACAUACAAACCAUUUUGCUUGGUACCUUUCAUUAUGACUAUUGAGCCUCUGAUAACUUUCAAUGUCCCAUUUUCAGCCUUAAUGACACAUCCAGUUUGAUCAAGCAUGCCAAUAGAUAUUAGGUUCCUUUUAAGUUCAGGAACAUGCCUAACCUGAGUUAGUUCUCUAACCAUGCCAUCAUACAUCUUAAGACUUACAGUCCCAAUCCCAACUACUUUACAAACUGAAUUAUUUCCCAUCAGCACCAUACCCCCAUCACAGGACUGAUAUGUAGUAAAGUAAUUUCUAUUUGGACUCAUAUGAAAAGUACAUCCAGAGUCUAGUACCCACUGACCUUGAGGUUUUUCUUUUGUGGCAAUGAGGACUUCAGCUGUCUCAAAGCUGGUUUCUUCUGUGGCUAUUGCUGCAUUUCCAGAUUUGUCUUUUGAUUCCUUUUGCUUUGUUUUUCUCUCAGGGCAAUCCCUCUUGAAAUGCCCUUCUUUGUGGCAGUAAAAACACUUCAAGUGUUUUUGCUUUGACUUUGAUCUUCCUUGCUUCUUUCCUUUGUACUCUCUUUUUUCAGAUCUGCCUCUUGCCAUCAGCCCUUCACUUGAUUCACUCUCUGGGUUAUCUUGUUUGUCUUUUAACUUCUUGGUACCAAGAGCAGAUUUAACCUCUUCCAAGGAGAGUGAUUGUCUUCCAUAUAACAAGGCAUCCACAAAAUGUUCAUAUGAUUUUGGUAAAGAACUGAUUAACAGCAAAGCCUUGCUCUCAUCACUCAGUCAUUCAUCAAUUGUUUCCAGUUCAUCACAAACCUUAUUAAACUCAUCUAUGUGUUCAUCAAGUGAUGCUCCUUCAAUCAUCCUCAGUGAGAACAUCUUUUUCUUGAUGUAUGGCCUGUUUGCUAAGGACUUUGUCAUAUACAAUUGUUCCAGUUUUGCCCAGACCCCAGCAACAGUCUUUUCCUUGGCAAUUUCCCUUAUCACUGAGUCACCAAAACUGAGGAUGAUGGUGCUUCUUGCCUUUUUGUCAAUCUCAGCCAUCUGUUCUGAAGUUCUUGAAGAAGAAGCUUCUGCAUUUUCAUUCUUGAUGACUGGAUCAAUGGCAUCUCCCAGACCUUGUGUGAUUAACAAUGCUUCCAUCUUGAUCCUCCACAUAUUGAAGUCAUUCUGACCCGUGAAUUUCUCAAGAUCCACCUUGUUGGUCAUUUCUUAAACCUUGAUACAGAAAAGAGGGCUCUGAUACCAAUUUGUUGUGAAUUUGGCUUUGAUACGACUAACCAAAUUCUCCCCAAGACACUAAUUCUGUAUCAAUGGUUUGAGAAUUAGCAGCACAGAUUAUCGAGCAACAAUCACACGCAAGAACCAAAGCAUUAAAGAAACAAUAUGACACCAAGUAUAAGUGGUUCAGCACCAAGAGGUGGUGCCUACAUCCACUGGAAACAAAGCAACAGUCUUUCACUAUUUAGUUCACAAAACAAUACAAGAAUAAGAAUUGAUUUACAGAGAACAAGAACUUGUAAACCCCUUUCUCUCUCUAUCUUCUCUCUACUCUCAGUGUUUCCCAAAUCGUGUGAAGACGAUGACAGAGCCUGCACCUUUUAACCUCUGUUUCUGGGUUGUUACACUAAUUACCCUUCCCGUCAAAACUAACCAAGAAGCUCCUCUCUCACGUGCUUGUCACAAGUUGGCAUAAGUGAGCUUGAAACGGCAAUUACAGAUGUCGUUCUUGAGCUAAUGAGAUUUCAGCUUCACCACACAUGCAAACCACGUGUAUUACUUAAAGGUUGAAUGACCAAAGAGAGGAUGUCGGUUUUACUCUGAAGAACUCCUCAAGCGACAAGUCGGCUGAGACUGAAUCCUCUAAACGACUUGUAGCACUUGAGUUUUGAGUUCACUGUUCAUCAUGCUGAAACUAAGCUGAUAGACUUGUUUGGAUGCUGAGAAAAUUUGAAGGAAAAUGAAUAUUCUAGAUCUGUAUUUUAUUCUUUCUUAUUGUUUCGAAUACAUCAAAAACUAAACUACUGAUCUCAGUCAAAUGUUUAUGUACACAUGUCACUAUACACAUGAACAGAACGAGAACAACAUUAACUGAAUACAGAGAAUAUAACAAACUCUCGCUGAGCUGGCACUAAUACUCUCAAUUGCAAUGCUGACUGGACACAAAAUCACACGUGCCAAAUGUACAGCUUACUUGUAUGCUUGAUGUGCUUCCUUAACAGUUGUAGAAAGAGUCGGUGAAUGUACAUAAUAAAACAAUAAUUAAUAAACGAAGAGUGGCGAACUAUAUAUGGAUCCAAAUAUUACAUAUAUAAUCGUAUUGUGAAGUAUGCUAAUCGAUCAGAUAUAAUACUCCCACCAUUGAAGGAAAUUAAGAAGCCUUCAAAUCAAAGGAAAUUAAGGAGCCUUCAAAUCAACAGGUGCUACUCUAGGGACAUGAACAGGAAACUCAUGAAUCUCAUCAAUCCAAGGAUUCUUCUCCUUUGCAGCAUUGAUAGUCCUCAAUGCUUGCCACACAGCACUGUUACACUUGAAUCCUGAUCCAAAUGCUAUCUGCCAUGUUCUGUCACCUUUUCUCAUUCUCCCCUUAGCCUCAGAGUAAGCCAAUCCAUACCACGAAGAGCUGCUAGAAGUGUUACCAAAUCUGUAAAGAGUCAUUCUGGAAGGCUCCAUAUGCCAUUGACUGAGCUCAAGAUUCUUCUCUAGCUCAUCUAACACCGCUCUGCCUCCGGCAUGGAUGCAGAAAUGCUCAAAAGCCAACUUAAAAUCUGGGAUAUACGGCUCGAUUUUCAUUUUAAAGACUUUUUUAGCAACCAAAGUUGCAAAAAACAAGAGUUUUUCUGACAUUGGGAGGACUAGUGGUGCCGGUGUUGUGAUAUUAGUCGUAAGGGCUUCUCCAGCGACAGCCAUGAGGUCCUUGGAGAGUGAAACUCCAACUCUUUUGGUGUCAUCUUCUCUUUGUAAGAUACAAUUGUAGCACCUGUCAUCAGCUCCCUUGUGGGUUCUGACAGUGUGGAUGAGUUGGUACUUUGAUCGACGGCGAUCGGAGGAUCGGUUAGGAUAGCGGCACCACCCAUGCGGAAGAGGCAAUUUGGUACAAGCAUGGACCUGUCGUUGCCAAAGUACCAGUUGAGUGUUAUGUUCUCCAUGCCCAUUACCAAGGCAUAGGAAUUGGGGUGCAGCUGUUCCAAUAACAUCAAAAAGUCUUAGUCCUAUAGCGUACAAAACAACUUGAAAAAUUGUUAAUCAUGACUGGAUCUAUUGGCUUUAAAAGUUCAACUUUAGCAGUUGGUAGAUGUUUGGCUGCUAGCUGUUGCGUUAAUAUUUCUCAGUUCAAUGCUUGGUGUCUAAGCUGAUCAAAUGCGCAUUAGGGUCACCAAAAUAUACUCAAACAAAAGGUCCACAUCCCACAAUUUACAUGACCAUAUUAACGUAACUUUAUAGUAUAUUAUAUAUCGUCAAGAUCUAAAUAUUAAUAAUAAAAGGAAGUGACAGAAAUUUAACCUGUAAAGGCUGUUUAGCAAGGUCUACUGAAAUAAGUGCAGCACUGCAACCCAUGCCACCAAGAUUAUAGCUCAUAAUUUUGCCUCUAAACUUGUAAUGAUUUACAAUCAUGGCCGACAAAGAUGGUGUUGGACAGAACCCACUGCAAUUCACCACAAGAAUCCCAAUAUCUUUAGCCUUUACGCCAGUUUUGAACAAGAGCUGAUUAAUGGCACCAAACAUGACCGUCUCAGCUUCCUUCCGAGCCUCAGCCAUACAAGGGUUCGGCGGGAAACGCAUCACGACCUCAGGGAAAUAAGUGUGCUGCCCCAAACCAGACCGUUCAAGAAUUUUCUUCUGAAAUGCCAAGUUCUCUUCCGAAAAACAACCAAUCUUCGCCGACCUCUCCAUGAAAAAUUCUCUAGUGCCCUGCCGCUCUGGCCCCGGCUUGUAACAUGCAAAAUCAACCAAGUACACUUUUCUCGGGCGGCUCAUGAAGUAAAGCGUGCCCAAAAACACCAACAGACUUGGACAUACAGUGACCGUCACGAGAUUGUACCUGAGUUGGCUCCAUAGCUGGACGAUAUCUUGUACUGAGAGAGUUGAAAGAUGAGCUGAAGAAAUUGCCAGAAUAGCUACAAGCAGUAAAUACAAUGCAUUGGAGAUUAGAUAAUGGUAACCAAGCUUCACGUAUUUGAGCCUAACGGAUAAAAGAAAAUUCGGAAGCUUAUUAUUGCUAUUUUCUCUUCUUUCAGCUUCCGGGUUUGGAUUCAGUUUCUUCUUUUGAUCAACAGCCAUUUUUGUUGGCUUUUUCACCAAAACACGGUAAUAGAAAUUGGCACUAAUGAAGGAAGAAUUAAUUGAAGUUGGAAGAGAAUGUGAAAAGUGUGAGUGAGUGAUGGGUUGCCAAAUGGGGAAAUAUGUGAGGAUUUAAAGGGGCCAUUCCGAAUUGGGCACCGUGGCCAAUUGGAGGAUACAACUGCACCAAAGAACUUUUGUAAGGAUAAAAAUCAUUUCCUGAUCUGAACUCUUGUGAGCCUUUGAAAAUCUCAUGUCAUGUUUAUUUAAAUGAUAGUGUAUGUGUAGAAUUUAAUUUUUUUAAUUUCUUUAUUUAUUAGCUACCAAUCACCCACAUAUAUUUUAUUCUGGAAGAGAUCAGAUCAUGAAAGUAUCACAAUCCCCUUUUUUUAAUUUUUAUACGACUGUUGCAUUGAAUUUGCACACUAGGAAAAUUUGCGGGAUUUUAUCUUCGUAUUUGACCUAAAUUUGGCUAUACAGUUUCGAAUUUGCCAUUUCUGUGGAGGGCAUAGCCGAAACCUGUGAAUCGGUGCGCGUGUCACGUGAGUAGAGUUGGAAUAUGACAGCUAAACUAUGAAGCUCACCAGUAGAACAUUACAAGACUUUCAAACCCUCCGAAGUUAUAUAUUUUCUUGUAGGUAAGUAAAAAGGAAGGAAAGUCAGUUCCAUUGAAAAGCAAUAGCAAAAUUGAGUGAAGAGAGUCUUGAGUACUCGGUGAUUUAGGCUAAUUAGAACUGGAUUCUUGACUUUUAGAUAAUUUCCUGAUUUUUUUCAAUUUGUUAAGUAAGCCUCGGUUACUGAAAUGACAGAUAUACAUUUUUUAGGCUUCAUUUGAUAUUGCUGCCCAGCAGCUUGCUACCAAGCAGAAUACUUUCAAACGGCCCUACGGUGUAAAUUAAAAAACUUCAAUUAUGACGAUCAUAAUUCAUUACCAUACUGAACAUAUGAGGAAUAGAAGUUAAGGAUCCAUUUGAGCACAAACAAUCUAUUUGUUUAGGAAAACAUAGAGAAUUGGGAACCCUUAUGUUAUUAGAAAUCAAAUUACAUGCAUACUAGGAAAGAAUAACAUCAUGACCCUUGAGUAUAGAUGUAUAAGCAUACCGCUAAUAUUUCAUAAAUGAACACAAACUCCUUUCAUUAUUGUUUACGUUUGUUUAAAAUUAUACAAGUGGUUCAUUCUUACAACAUUGGAGAUUUACUUAUAUAUUGGAUUAAAUUUUGGCGGCAUUGUGUAUAAUUAAAAACCAUUUACAUAUUUUUUUUGACAAUUCAACUUUAAAGCAUGAAAUUAAUGACAAUUUUAGUGUAUUUAUUAUCUAAUCUCCUUUAAAAAAUAAGAACACCUAUUACAAAUUCCACCAUCAAUGUUGAAGAGUAGUGACUUACAUUGGCUUUUUAAAAAGAGUUAUUUGAGUUUAUAAGUACGAUAGACCAUUCAACCUAAUAAAGUAAUCUUUUGGGUUGGGUAUCUAAAAAUCUUAGAUUAGACCCUCCCCUCUACUCUCUCCCUCUCUCUACCUCAACGAGUAGUAGUAGAGUCAUAUUUUAGUAGACAGAAUAUAGUGGUGGAAUAAUUCAAGUGUAUUGGAUGAAAGACUCAAAGUUCGGUAGUGAUUUUAUCUAAAAGAAAAUUAUUAAGUUAUGUCUCAUAUUAACUAAUAAAAAAAUUAUUUAAAUUUAUAAAUAGAAUAAAUUAUUUCACCCAAUAAAUUAAUGUAUUGAGUUGGGUGUUAGCAAGCGGAUGUUGGCAAGCAACCUGAAAACCCCCACCCAAAAAUCAUUUUUGAUGCAGACACCAAUUAAACUCAUGACAAUGGAUGUGUUGGUAAGGAUGAAAUUUUUUACUCUUAAGUCUUAUCUGUCUAGUUGGGGCAGUGACAGUCGUAGUACUAACUGCGCGACCUUAUGAUUGGGGCCGAAAUGCCUCUAAAGUGACCCAUGAUCCCAUGAAUUCACACGAACGUACUAUGGUAAGGUCUUAAAAACAGUAGAGUCAUCGAGGGACAGAAUUAGUCAAUUCUCAUCAAAGUUUUCUAUGGUUGUUACUGUUCCACUUGUCCGUUUUCUUUCUGCCCAUCAUGGUUUCUUUUGGCUUAUUCAUAUUUCAUAAACAUAUACUUGAGAAAGAUGACGCAAAUCGACCAACAGCUUUUUGAAUUAAAUGAAGUUCUUUAAUAUGUUACGUGAGCUAAACGUGUGUGCCAUCGCUCGGGUUGCUAUGCUACACAUUACAAGUUUCAUCAUGCCUCAAAUAUUAAUAAGAAACUAUAAAGUAAAAUAUUUAUAUCACCACAUUUUAAUUAAGAAAUAGAAACUUUAAUUGCGCAUAAAGGUUAAAGAAGUAACAAUUAGCACUAGUUAGCUGAAUUAAUGAAACGAGUGGAAAUAUAUUAUUUCAACGGAUACUUAAUUUAUUAUAUAGUUUUAGGAGUAAGAACGAAGCACGAAAUCAUUGAAUCCAAAAAUGAACUAGGGAUGGCAAUGGGGUAGGGUGGAGGUUGGGGGGCGGGGGUGGGAGAGGCCUACCGCAUUCCUUACUCCACUAAAAUUUUCGUCUCCAUUCUCCACCUCAUUCCCCCAAUAAAUCUAGUGGGGGUGGGGAUGAGAAUCCUCAUGUGGAGAAUGAUUUCUCUAUCCCCACUUUAUUCUCCAUUUACCUAUUUUAUAGUAGACAUAGAUACAUAAUUUCAGUAAAUUAAAAAUUAGAGACUUAAAAUAAAAUUAUCACCAUAUUAUAAAGUAUUUACAUUAUUUUAAAAAAAACUCUAAAAGUUUAAAAUAAUAUCUUAAAAUGAUAUCAAAACUGAAAAAUAUUUGAAAAAAACAGCACCAUAAAAGAGAAAAAAAAAACAUAGCAAUAGUUUACAGUCGAAAAAGAAUUAUAUUGUAGGGUUUUUUUUUUAAUCAUAUCCUAUUUAUAUUACAUAAAAAUAAAAAGAAAAUUUAUUAAUUGACAUUAUAUUUUAUAAAACAAGAAUUAUUAAACAAGAAUUAAAAAAAUAUGUAUAUAUAAUGGAGAUCGGGGUGGGGGUGGGGAAUACAAAAUCAAACUCCACCCCAUUAAGAAUCUGUGAUUAUUUUUCCCUCAUUCUCCAAAAAUUAUUCAAAAUUUUCUUUAUUUGGGGUAGGGCUCCAUGAAGCCCUGUAGAGGAUUUUACCAUCCCUAAAAUGAACAUUAGAAUUACUUGAUGCUCUGCUAUUAGAAUUACUUGAUGCUCUGCUUCAAGUUGUAUGUGUCUCUAAAUUUGCUCAUUCUUAUUGCUAUUGAGAGGUUAAUGAAAUUUACCAAAUAAUUUUAGAGUUUGUUUUUAAUUCUUGAAUUUUGAACUCGAUGAUCUUUUUGUAUCACUGGGUUACUUUAAAACAGAUUGAUGAUUGGCGUGACAUUGCGCUUCCUAAAGAGAUUUCUAAGGGACCUAGGGCUAGAACAUUGGGUGCGAAUUCUUUAGUAACGGGUUUCAGGAGUCAGUUUGAGGCAUUGGGCUCGAUUAAUAAUGCUUUCCCUCGAUCAGGGUAAGUUACAUAAGGUGCAUUCAAAUGUUAUGACAAAGCCAAGCCCAAUCAUCUGGACAUAUGCCUGGAUAUGAAUGCUUAAGUGCCUCUUCAAAGGAUGGAUAAUCCAAGUAAUGAUCAUACAUCCAAUGUCUCAUAUCAUGAUAUCUCCCACCCAUAAUGUUAUUCACACAUCGACGAACAUGUGGUAAGUUCAAAUCAAUCUCAAACUUUGACUGAAUUUAGGAAAAAAAAGAUAUCUCAGUUUAUAAUUAAAAAAAAUGACAGAUGAAGAAUAUUAAUAAUCAUAAGUACUUACUAAUAGUCGAUCAAACAAAACCUACCAAUUAAACUCUUUAAAUACCAAAUUCUAGAGUUGUAACAACACCUUGCACAAACUCUUGGCUGGGCAUAACAGGCUGACAUUGGGGAAUUGUAGAUGCGACAACAAUUUCUGCUCUUACACGUUUGGUAACUCUAUGUCCAGGACCCAUAUAGUAAUUAUUAAAAAUAUACAUUAGAGUUUAUUAAUAAUCAACAUAAAAAUAAAUCAAGAUAACUAUAAUUUUGUUAAAGAAAUUAUAACAUGAAAGAUCCUAUUACUGGGCAUAGAUCCUACAUUCAUUUGACUAUUGUCCACAAACUCAGGUUCUUCACCACGAAAAACCCAUGAAAAAUCCAUUAACUUUAAUUUAACAAGUUAAAAAUUGAAACAAAGGCCCACUUAAUAAAUAAUUAAAGCAAAACCCACUAAACAAAAUCAAACUCAACAGGCCAAUAUAUAAAAUAAAACUAAAUUUACUUGAAGAAAUCGUUGUCUUGAGUGGUGCCUUCCAAGUACAACUCUUCAAUGGCUUAAAGCUUGGGCAAAGAGAAUGAUUCCAAGGCAGGCAAACAAAACAAGCGAAGAGUAAAGUGGAAAUAUUCUAGAAGCAAUAUUUUAAUUAAGAAAAAAUUGGAGAUGGAAACUUUACUUCGGUUAGCACGCGGUUUAUUAAAUAAAGGGCGCGGAAAUAAAAAAAUUAAAAAGCCUCCCACAAAGUCAUGUUUGCUUUUAUAUUAUCUUUAUAUUUCAUUUAUUAAUUUAAUAUUUUUGUUAACCUUUCGUAACAAAAUUAAUCUCGUUGCAAAAAAUUCUGAGAGUACAAAACAAAUUUUCUCGCUAAUCACAACCUUUUGCAAUAUUUCAUUUGUUGCAACUGAUUCAAGUGUUUGUUGUGGAAAAACUUGAGCAACGAAACAUAUUUUGCCUUCAUUAAGCUUGUUAGGCAACAAGAACACUUUUGUUGCCAAAUAUAGCGUAGGGCAAGAAAAUAUUUUGUUGCCAUAUAUUCUAAUUUUCUUGCCUAUUUCACAUCAUUAAGAAGAAUAAAAUUUGUUUAGCUAUAGCGAUAAAGACUAAUUUUUGUUGCAAGAUAUGAAUUUUAGCAAUAAAGUAAGUUUUGUUGCAAUAGAAUUUGUAGCCAAUAUUCUAUUUUCUUGUGGUGAAAAUAAAUUACAGGGGAAACUUUUAUAUUUUAAAAUUUAAAUUUGGGUUUAAAAUUAAUUAUAAUGGAUCAAACCGAUGAAUUUCCUCCAACUGUACUCAAUCCACUUGAAUUUAAAUAAGUUGAGUGUUUUGAUUUUCACAGUUAGUUAAUUGAGCCUUUUUUUUUUCCAAACUAUAGUAUUAACGAAUAGAGUAGGUUGAAUUGAGUAAUAUGAAUUUAUAUAAAAAAAUAGUAAUAUUAUAAUAAGAAAUGACACUGGUAGUACAAAAAGUGUUGUUAUUUUGUAUAUUAUAGUAAUAUUAUAAUAAGAAUAGUAUCUAUUUUUUAUCUAAGUAAUUUAUUGAUAAUAUUCAAAUAUUAGUACUUAAUCUAUAUAUAAUAUCCAAUCUAAGAACAAUAAAAAUUCCGAAGAAAAUCUAGCAUGUGAAUUGUCAAGUGUUGAACAAUCAAACCUAUUUAUUUUUAGGAAAAUGCUUGGUGGCUGGAAACACAAGAGAAAGAUGAGAGAAACAGCAGCCCAUGCUGCUGUUUCAGCUCUCCUCAACUCUCGCUGUUUCCAUCCAAAAUAAUAAAAAAAAAUAAAGGAUAAUAGAGAAAGAGUAAAAGUAGAUCACUACAAGAAAUCUGACUUUCUAAGACAAAUGUUUUUAUGACAUUUGUAGAUUUUGUCAUAAAAUAAUACUUAUUGUGAUGAUCUUUUAAAAUCAUAGCAAAUAAUCUCGUCCUGGCUCAUGUUAUAUUUUGUAACGAAUAAUAUUCAUUUUAUGACCCAAUAAUUGGUCACUUAAUCAAAUGUUUUGCGACAAAUAUAAAAUUAGCCACAAAAAGACAUACUUUAAAUUCCCUCCAAAAUUGAUCAGUUUUUGACAAAAUAUCAUCUUUUAUGACAAAAAACAUGGUAGCGAAAUGUAAUUAUAAGUGCCAUAAUUAUUUCGUAACUAAAAGAGGGAUGUAAAAUUGAUCAAACCAUUUGUGACCAAAAAUAUAGUCUCCAAACCUAAUAUGGUUUUGAUUAAUUUUUAAGACCCUAUUUUUUUUAUCACAAAUAAUUACCUAUUGUGACAAAACUAAAAAAUAAUAGUUUAAAAUUUUUUCUUGAGUAAUUUUAUAUUUCAUGACUUUUUUUUUCAGAGACACUUUAUUUAGUAUUUGAUUCAUAUUUUUUUGGCAAACUUUACAACAUUGACAAAAAACAGAGAAUAAUAAUCAAUAUUUUUAAAUUAUAUUAUAUUUUGUGACCAACAAAUUUUUUAUAUGUAUUUUAUUAAAUAAUUGAUAAGAUAAAAUGUCAAUAAUUUUAUUAAAUAUCAAGAAAAAAGGUAUUUAACUGAUAGGUAUUUUAUUAAAUAAUACAUUUUUCUUGAAAUUUAAUUAUGCACAUUAUUUUUUAUUAUUUAGCUUCAUACAAAUUUUGUUUAACUAUGUUAGAUUAAUAAAAAUUAAAAUAAUAGCCUUAAAAUAAUUAACUUAGAUUAUUAAAAAAUGAUAAUAGACUUUUUUUAAACCAAUAAUAACAAACUUAUUAUAGCUUCUUUUUUAUUUUUUUAAAAGAAUCCUAUAAUAAUUAAUUAUGUUGGAUUUACAGAAAGAAUACAUAUUAUAUUGGAUAAAAAUUAAAAUAAAAGAAUAACUAAACUUAAAUAGAAUAUAAGUUUCUCUAAUGAAAUCGUGAAAUACAAAUAAAUCCCCUCCCACUGAUUCCCUGGCCAAUUUUGUUGUUAUCCAAACAAAACCAUUUAAUUUCCUCCCACUCUCUCCCAGGCCACUUCACUUUAAUUGGUUUUGUAUUAAAAAACUACCCAUCUUUAUCUUUUGUAAUCCUUUCCAAUUUAUGCGUGAGUGUGUGUGAAUGAUGAUAACAGAACAAAAACGCAUGGCUAUGGAGGCCACCUCACUUUGCCGCCGCCCAAAAGCACGCCACCCUCACCAGUCCACUCAUGCAUGCCAAAAUCAGCCACUCAGCAAAAUUCCUCUCAUCUCUCGUUCUACUUCGAAAUUGUGAGUAUAUAUAAACUCAGCCAAUUUAAUUUUGAUUAGUUUAAUUGUGAUUGGAUUAUGUGAAAUUCAUAUUUUUGUGUUUGGUAAAAUUAGGGAUUGAAAUUCUUAGAUCUAUUAUUUGAAUAUUUUUAUGCUUAUCAGGUGCUUGAUAAAAUUCCUAAGAGAAUCUAGUAAAAGAAAAACAUAAAAUAUAUGCAAAUAAAUGAAGGAAUUUGAAGCAAAGUUUAGUAGGUUUUGAGAAACUUUUGCAAAAUUAGGAUAUUAAGAUGAAUUUGUUUUUCAAUUUGAGCAGUGGGUUUAGGCGUGCUGAUAUCAGAUUUUUUUUUCCUAAUAUUCUUUCAUAAGAACUUUCGAAAAUGGGAUCUUUCUAAUUUUUGUUCACUUCAACUUGGUAUGUAAUUAAUCAUCUUUCUUUAUUUUUUUAAAGAUAAUUAUAGCUAGUAUUAAUAUAGUAAAAAGAGUUAAUAAGUUAUUCGAGUCCAGCCGAUAUAAUAAUAAGUUAAGCUACAAACUUUUAAUUAUAAAACACAUGUGUUGGUUGGAAGGACGAUUUUGAAGCUUGGGUUGCUAAAGUUUGCUGAAAAUAUUGUUGGAUUUGCUGGAUUUGCUAGGAAGUGUAGAUGAAGUGACUAAAUAAAGGUCAAAAAGCCUUUUUUUCCCCAAGUGGUCGUUGUAUGUUUAGUCAAAAUUAAUAUGCUUAUCUUCUUUUGUACUAGGAUAACAAAAAAGUAUGGAGAGAGUUUCCUCAAUUACUUUGUUUAAGAAAAUGUAUUAGAGUUAGCGAAAAAGGUUCAAGUAGUCUCCAUACAAAAUCUAAAUGUGUAAGCUAUCUUAUUUUUAUUUUUUGACUUAAUCUUUUAUUUCUUUCAACUUUAUAUUUAUUGUACUGUAAAUGUUGAUUUAUUGACUGCUUAAUAAUUUAAUUUAGUUCAAGUUUGACACCAACUGUUUAAUCGAUUAAGUUCAGAGCUUUGGAUGUAAAAUUUGUACAAGUGAAUCGAGGUUGAUUAUGUGCUUGUAAUCUUGUGAUUAUAUUGUUAAUUUGAAGUAAUAAUGAAAGCAAGUAUGUGCUUGUAAUCUCUUGUCUUUCAUUUAGAAUUUUUUCCAUUUUUUUAUUGGAUGAAAGAAUUGAUUGUGGAUAUGUUUCAUUGAGAAUUUAAUUAUUUUUGCAUUCUUACCUAAAUAUUUUUAUUUAUAGCUAUUUGCCUUGCUAUUUACUAUUCUUUCAUUUUGGCAAUAAGAUUUUUUUUUAUAAGAUUAUUCUACUAUACCAAUUAAGUUUUUUCUCAAGUUUUUUAUUAUUAAUAUUAUUUUUUAAUCAUGUAAAGACAAAUGAUAGAUAGAGAAAAAUGAUGUACCAAUAAUAGAUGAUCAAAUUGUGAAAUACUUUUGGAAAAAUCUUUAAUUUUAUAAAGAUAAAAAAAUGACAGGUACCUUCAAAGUCAUCUUCUACUACAACAUUGUCUUAGCACAACAAUGAUAAAAAGUUAAAAUCAAUGAAGAAGAUAGCAAAUUUAAGGAAGUUGAAGCAUUCAUGAAACAACAACCUGUUGUUUACUUAAUUAUGCUUUUGUGUAAUGUUACUUUUAUUUUUCUUCUAUGAUGUAAUCUUAUUUUUAGACUAUUGAUUUUUUACCUUUUUGAUUUUAGAUUUCUUUGUAAUGAAUUAUAUUUAUGUUAAUAAUAUUUUUCACUUCAAAGUUCUUUUGUCAUUAAAUUUUGAAUUCUAUGACUACAUAUUGUUAUUAAAUUUAUGUGAGACUAUAAAAAUUGUCCUUAAAAUAAAUUUGAGACUAAAUUAAUUACCAAUUGUAUUUGUAAAAAUUGUCACAAAUGAUAACUACUUGAGACGAUUGUGUAGUGUCGCGGUAUGUAAAUUGUCAACGAUUGGUAAUUGUAUCAUUGAACCUCUAAAAUAACGAUUUUUAGUAAUUAUCGAGACUAUAUUUACAUACUCUUGAGACAAAUAUUAUAGUCAUUCUAAAUCACCUAUUGAGACAAAUGUUUUAUUCACUAUAAAUCACCUAUUGAGACAAAUAUUAUAGUCACUGUAAAUCACAUAUUGUGACAAAUAUGAAGUGUCAUUGAUUGCAUUUUUUAAUCUCUAAUUUGAUCAUUUUGAACACUAUUUGUGACAAUUUUAACUUAAUUUUAAGACAAUGGUCUUUGUCACAAAACAUAUUUUUAACAUGACGAAAAUAAUUAUGGUCGCUAAAACCUUUUAAGACGGUCUUUCCGCGACUAACGUGUGACAGUUUAUUUAUCGUCAUAGAAAAUAUAAGGUGACUAAUAUGUUAUCUUGAGUGACUAAAUUUUUUGUAAUAAAAUAUCAUUUUUCUUGUAGUGGAUCUAGAACUUUCAGAUCCCUCCAGCUUAUCAUCUAGAACUUUCAGCUCCCUCCAGCUUAUCUUGUCACACAUGGAAUCAUUUUGCUGAAAUACUUGGCAUCCGCUUGCUAUUCUAAUUCAGCUUUCCUUCUCAAAGCAUUUUCAUAUUGCUUUACAAACUACUUCAAAUUUGUUUUUGAGUUAACAAACCCAUCAAAAAAUGCAUUCAUACUUUCACUUCACUGAGUUGUUGACAUUCCUACCAAAAAAUUAUCUUUUAAAUAACAUGGAACCUAACGAUUCAUCUCAUCAUAUAAACCAUUUAACCAAUCUGUGGACUAAAAUGAUGAAUCUAAAACUUGAGCAUAUUAAACGGCAAUGUUCAGAGCAUGUUUAAUUAGCUCAGGAAGUCACAAGCUCUGCAUGUGGCUUACUAAAGAUCAAAACGGCAAGAUUGAAGACGUUUUGACCAAGGCUUAAGUGAAGCAUGUGAAUGUGCAUGUGAUGGAAGAAUCAAGUUAGUUAGAAGCUAUUAAUCCAGGUGGCAAAAAUCUGUGCUUUCUGGGUUUUUAUUAGCUGGUAUAUAAGCUGAUCUUCUAGGCAGUUUCUGUAUCGAUCUGAGAGCAUUAUAGAGAGAGUUAAAAUAGAGAGAAAGUUUCGUCUUGUUCCUAGCAAUUAACUCUUGAGUUGCUUUGUAAAAGUCACUAGAAUCAUCUAUAAAUCUUGUUCUGUUGGCUUCUCCCGUGGAGGUAGAUUGUGCUUGCUAGCACAAUCGAACCAAGUAAAUUCUUUUCUUUUCUUGUGUUUGAUUUAUUCUCAAUUCUUGUUUUGAUGUGUUCUAAUCAUAGUCAUUUCGUCACAAAGGUUUCUUAAUUCUUAAAGUUUGAUUGGUUUGGGUUCAAAGCAUCUUUGUUGAUCUGAUUUACGAUCUUGGGCACUGAUUGAGUUGCUCAUCUAAUUCUAUAGCAUUCAAAUCACUACACUUGCUAUUAGAGCAGGGUUAACAAAUCAAGAUCCUAGUAUGGCUACACCAAAGAUCGACCUUGAGAAGUUUAACGGGAAAAAUGACUUUAACAUGUGGAAAGUGAAUAUGGAAGCUUUGCUGGUUACUCAGGGUCUUGGUGAUGCAAUUCAACCAGUGACCAAGAAUGAGGGAAAAGAGCUCUCUUCAUCAAAGACUCCUGAACAGGUUGCUGAGAUUGAUAAAAAGGCUAGAGGAACGAUAAUCUAUCUUGAGUCUUGCAGAUUCUGUUAUAAGGGAAGUGGCAAAAGAACCCACUGUAGCUUAUUUGUGGGCCAAACUAGAGAGUAUCUACAUGAAGAAAUCCCUGACAAAUAGAUUAUACAUAAAGAAAAGGAUGUUCACAUUAAAAAUGAUGAAAGGCACAUCUUUAGAUGACCAUCUUGAUGAGUUCAACAAAGUGUGUGACAUUAUGGAAACUAUUGAUGCAGCCCUUGAUGAUGAGGAUGAAGCCCUUCUGUUAAUAAGCUCUCUACCAAAAUUCUAUGGGAAUUUUCUUGAUGCCUUAAUGUAUGGAAGACAUACACUAUCUCUGGAUGAAGUUAAAUAAGCAUUCAACACAAAGGAAUUGUAGGGUAAACAAGAUCAUCUGGGAAAUGAAUCAGGUCAAGGCUUAACAGCAAAAGCAAGAUCAGAGGGCAAGAAAAAGAAGCAAGGCAAGAACAAAGAAAAACCAAAAGAUUUGAAGCGUUUCUUGUGUCACAAAAAAGGACACUUCAAGAAAGAUUGUCUAGAAAAGAAGUUUAAGAAAGGGCAGAAUAGAGGUGCAGCUGUAGCUAAAGAAGAAGGCUAUGAAUCUGCUAGAGUGUGCAUUGCCACAGACAGUAAAGAUAAAGGUAAAUGGGUUCUUGACUCAGGGUCUACUUUUUAUAUGAGCCCAUAUAAGAGUUACUUUAUAGAAUAUUAUGAUUAUAAUGGUGGUAGAGUAAUUAUGGGGAAUAAUGUUGUGUAAAAUCAUGGGAAUUGACAAUGUUAAUCUUAAGCUACAUGAUGGAACCAUUAGAGAGCUGAGACAAGUUAGGUAUGUGCUUGAGUUGAAAAGAAAUCUGAUUUUUUUGGGAAUGCUUGAUCAAAUGGGGUGUAGUGUUAAGAUUGAAUCAAGGGAACUGAUGAUUGUCAAUGAUUCACAGAUUGUUAUGAAAGGUAGUAGGAAAAAUGGGGUGUUCAUCUUAGAUGGGGAUGUAGUUAAUGGUGAAGCUGGAGUGUCAUCAGCUGAUAGCAUUGAUAAAAUCAAAAUAUAGCAUCUAAGGUUAGGGCACAUAGGAGAAAUGAGUCUUAAAUAACUUGAAAAACAAGGUGUAUUAGGGAAUGAUAAGCUUGGAAACUUGGAUUUAUGUGAAGAUUGUGUACUAGGCAAAUCAACAAUGACUAGUUUUAAAAGAUCAGUACAUAAGUUCAAGGAUAAACUGGAGUAUGUCCAUUCGGAUUUGUGGGGGCCUGCUCAGUAGAUAUCUCUAGAAGGUAAUAGUUAUUUCUUAUCAAUCAUUGAUGAUGUUUCCAUAAAGGUAUGGGUCUAUAUCUUGAAGAAUAAAGAUCAAGUGUUUGAUAAGUUCAGAGAGUGGAAGAGUUUGGUUGAAAAUCAGAUUGGAAAGAAGGUGAAUAAACUCAUAACAGACAAUGGCUUCGAGUUUUGUAAUCAAAGGUUUGAUAACUAUUAUGCAGAUAAGGGAAUUAUAAGACACAGAACUGUCAAAUUGACACCCCAACAGAAUGGCUUAGCAGAAAGGAUGAAUAGGACACUCAUAAAGAGAGUAAGGUGCAUGCUUAUUCAAACAAGGCUUCCCAAGUCUCUGUGGGCAGAAAUACUCUUAACAGCUUGUCAUCUGGUCAACCUCAGUCCAUCUUCAGCCAUAGAUUUCAAAACACCUUAUGAAAAAUAGACUGGACAGCCAUCAAACUAUGGAGAUCUGAAAGCUUUUGGUUGUACAACCUAUGCUCAUAUAAGCCAAGGAAAGCUAGCUCCUAGGGCUUUAAAGGGCAUCUUCAUAGGCUAUCCAGAAUCUGGUGCACAGAUGUUAAUCCUCAAAAAAGCAUAAUUAGAAUCAAGGUGGAGAAAUGUGGACUAAAAUGAUGAAUCCAAAACUUGAGCAUAUUAAACGGCAACGUUCAAAGCAUGUUUAAUUAGCUCAAGAAGUCACGAGCUCUGCAUGUGGCUUACUAAAGACCAAAAUGACAAGGAUUGAAGACGUUUUGACCAAGGCUUAAGUAAAGCAUGUGAAUGUGCACGUGAUGGAAGAAUCAAGUAAGUUAGAAGCUAUUAAUCCAGGUGGCAAAAAUCUUUGCUUUCUGGGUUUUUUAUCAACUGGUAUAUAAGCUGAUCUUCUAGGCAGUUUCUGUAUCGAUCUGAUAGCAUUAUAGAGAGAGUUAAAAUAGCGAGAAAGUUUUGUCUUGUUCCUAGCAAUUAACUCUUGAGUUGCUCUGUAAAAGUCACUAGAAUCAUCAAUAAAUCUUGUUCUGUUGGCUUCACCCAUGGAGGUAGAUUGUACUUGCUAGCACAAUCGAACCAUGUAAAUCCUUUUCUUUUCUUGUGUUUGAUUUGUUCUCAAUUCUUGUUUUGGUGUGUUCCGAUCAUAGUCAUUUUCAUCACAAAGGUUUCUUAAUUCUUAAAGUUUGAUUGGUUUGGGUUCAAAGCAUCUUUGUUGAUCUGAUUUGUGAUCUUGGGCACUGAUUGAGUUGGUCAUUUAAUUCUAUAGCACUCAAAUCACUGCACAAUCAUUAUCACAUAAAUUAUAUGUCAUAAUCAUGCCAUGUCAAGCUUCCUUGAACACAGUAGGGCUUAAUGAGUCAUAAACAACUGAAAGCAAUGAAGCAAUAAUACCUUAAUGUUCUUUAAAAGCCCCUAACUUUUUAAGCAUCUUCUUCAUUAUAUGCCAUAAACAACAUCGAUGCCUAGUCGUAGGAAAAGCAUUCUCAAUUGUCAUUUGCAUUGCUUUGUCUUGGUCUGUAAUGAUACCAAUUGGCGGAGAACCGAACAUACAUAAUAACCACGCCUCAAAUAACCACGUCAAUGUCUCUAUAUCAUCGUGUGAAAUCAAUCAACAUCCUAACAAAAUAGACUAGCCAUGGUGAUUAACUCCAACAAAAUGAGCGAAUGACAUAUCAUACUUGUUGGUAAAAUAUAUGGUGUCAAACGUGAUAACAUCUCCAAAAUAUUUAUAAGUUGCUCUACUCUUCGAAUCUGUCCAAAAUACAUUCUUUAAUCGAUCAUGCUCAUCUAAAUCAAUGCUAAAAAAAAAAAAUCAUUGCAUUCAACUUGUUUUUUCUGGAAAUACUUAAGAAUUGCCAUAACAUCCCCUUCUCCGAGCUGUAAUCGUCUUGUUUUAUCAACAAAAUUUCUAUAAUCUUUUUUCUAAGAACGAGACAUUUUUAUGCCCACCAGCUUCAACAACAAUAAAAUUAAAAUUUUGGACAAUGUUAAUUCCUGCACAUUCAUUCAUUUCAAUAUGUUUUUUUACACUUGUACUAAUUCUACGGUUACAAGAGAAGUAUCUUGUUUUGUCCGGGCUCAAUCCGUGAUUGUGUUGAAGGUUUAAAAUUCGAAGAACCCAUUUUCCAUCUUCAUUUCGACAACCUCCAAUUCUAGCUUCACAACUCAUUUUCACAAUAGGUUUCAGCUUCAAUGGAUUAGUAGAUUUAUUUUUCGACUUACCGCUACGGCCACAUACAAAUGUCGCAUAUUUUAUAUUUCCAUCAAUCCCUUUUUUAAUGGUCAGCUUCUUCAUAGGAAACCCUUCUUGUUUAUCACAGGCUUUGUAAAACUCAAACAUUUCCUUAUGGCUAUCAAAUAACAUUACAAGAGUUGGCUCAUAUUUUUCUGGUUUCACUUCUUUAAUUGCUUGCUCAUUUUCUAAAUUUUCUAUUUCUACAAAAUAAUUAACAUUUGUAUUAAAAAUAAAGAAUGAGUUAUUAUAAAUUUUUUGCAAAAUUUUUGUCCAACAAAAAUUUAAUUCAUUAAGUUUGUAGCAAUUUAAAUUAAAAAAAAAUUCUAAAUAAGCCAAAAUAUAAAUCACCCAAGACCAAAUCAAAAUACUCACUAAAAAGACCAAAUAUUUUCAAUGUAAAAUCGAUAUAACAAAAAUCAAUUAUAAAAAUAAUGCUUGGCUUAGCAUCAAUUUAUGAUAGAAUCAAUUUAAUUGAAUACCCGAUCAGCUACCUAGCAUGGCUCAUUCUAUUCAAGUAUAUAAUAUAAUCAAUUUCUACUCUGACAGGGCUAUACAAUUAUAGAAAAUGCUAGGCUUAGAAUCAAUUUAUGAUAGAAUCAAUUUAAUAGAAUCCCUCUGUCAGCUACACAACUCAAUCUAUUCAGAAAAUUAUGUACGAGUGUAUGAAAUAGUACCUAUCGUCGUCAGUGGUCGCAUCGGUGGCGGUCUUGUUGUCGGCGACGGCGUUCGAGAGAAGGAAGAAAAUGACGACGGAAGGAAACGCUAGAGGAGUCUGGAGGGAUAAGGUGGAGGGAGCUAAAAGUUUUAGAUCUACUUUCCCUCUUUCUCUGUUCUCCUUUAUUUAUUUAUUUUUUUUUUAUUAUUUGGAUGGAAAGCGCGAGAGUUGAGGAGAGCUAAAAUGGCAGCAUGGACUGCCGUUUCUCUCCUCUUUUUCUAUCGUUCUUCUAGAUGACAAGCACAACUCUUAUUUUUAACCAUUUUUAUUUUUUAAUAAAAGAAAGGUCUUUUCAACUUGCCUUUAAAGUUGACUUUAACUCUACUUCUCUACGCUUUUUAUUCAAAAUUAAAAUUACACCAGAGAUUGUGAGAGAAGUGGUUCACAAAAUGUUGUAGAAGCUUAAUUUUUUCUCACUUAUAAAAAAUAAAUGAGUAAAUGUAAUCUUUUUUAUUUUGAAAUAUAAGUAGAGUAGACAUCUCUAAAAUAUUAAAGAGGCUUAGAAUUUGAAUAGUACUAGAUAAAAUUUAAUGUUUGUAAUCUGCACAAUAAUCUCAUGUAAUUUUUUUUAAAAAAAUCACACUAGAAUCUCAGUAAAAUUUAUUUCUCUCUCUUCUUUUUUUUUAAUUUUUUGUAACUUAUAAGAUAUGUUUCGUUGACUGGUUUGAGUUGAAUUUUUUUUUGCCCAACUUGAUUAAUAAUAAUAUAUUCCCUCGUUUUGUAAUGGUUCACUAAAAAUAAUAAUAAUAAUAAUAAUAAUAAUAAUAAUAAUAAUAAGAGAAAUUAUCCACCGACCAUCUGUUCUUUCUAGUUUUUUCAAAAAUACACAUAUCUUUUUUUUUUUGGUUGAUUUCCACUAAAAGUUACAUUUUCUUGCACAUUUUCACUUCUUUUUGUAUUCUAUUGCUGAUGUCAUAGGGGUAAUAUUGUCAUUUCACCUGCAUAACAAAAAUCAACGUCAUUUAAAUGUAGUAGAAAGAGAAAAAAAAAAGGUAAAAAUAUUUCAGAUUAUUUUGUUUAACUUAUUAUCUAAUUUCUAAAUUGCAAAGAAAAUUUGAAGUAAUUUAAUUUUUUUCAUUUAAUUAGGGUGAAAUAGUAAUUUUACAUUAAGAGGUAAAAUAGUCAUUUUGUUAAUAUUCUAUUAACUUCUCUCACAGAGUUUAGACGGCAGCGGAAAAAUGAUACAUUUUGUAACUUCAUGUGGAAAUCAGCCAAAAACAAAUAUGUAAAAGCUCGUUUCAUCCCUAUAUUUUAAGAUUAGUACCCAUUUAGUCUCUAUAUUUUUUCAAAUGCAUAAAAACAUCAAUAUUCUUAAAUUAUUGACAUCCCUGCAGUUACGAUUUGUUUCUUUUGACUUACUUUUAUAAUAUUACCCUUUUACAAUAAUAUUUCUUUUUAUGAAAUUACUAAAAGAAAAAAAAUUAAAUUAUCAAUUUAAUCCCAAAAAUAAAAUAAAAACAAAAAGAAUGUAUAUUAAUUUUUGUGAAAGCUUACAUGUGUCCAAAAAAAAAUUUAUUGUAAAAAUAAUUAAAUUACCUUUUUUUGGACAUUAUUAAAAAAAAAAUUAAUAUAUUAACUCCUGAGCAGUGUGUUCCCAAAAAGUAACAUAUAUUAAUUUUGUUUCUAUUUUAUUUUUUGAGAUUAAAUUGAUAAUUUUUUUCUUUUUACUAAUGCCCAAAAAAAAUUAUUGUAAGAGAGUAAUAUUGUAAAACUUAAGUCAAAAGCAACAAAAAGUAAGAGGAAAUGUGCUAAUAAUUUAAUGUCGGGGAUGUUUUGAGGUAUUUUAAAAAAUUUAGGGACUAAACGGGCACUAAUCUUAAAAUAUAGGGACUAAACGAGAUUUUGCUCAAAACAAAUAUAUGUGUAUUUUUUAAAAAAGUCUGAAAAAACAGGUGGUCGGUGGAUAGUUGCCCUAAUAAUAAUAAGGGAAAUUAUCAGUCAUAUACCCUUAAAUGACACCAGUAUCAAACGUGCUACAACACUUUUCAAGUGUAUCACUCGCAUACCCUAAGUUGAAAAAACACUUCUGCCGUCCACCAAUCCGUUAACUGCCGUUUGCGAGCGCUGACAUCAUAAGGGUAAUCUAGUCUUUUUUUAAAAACGACAUGUCAUUCCAUUUACCUAGUAAAAAACGACAUAUCAUAUGAUAUAUUUUGAUAAAAAUGACAUGUCAUCUCAUUUAUCGGAUAAUUGUUAAUAAUUGCUAAAAAAAAAAGCUACUUUACAACCGAAUCUACUCCUCCAAAAUUAACCUAAAUUAUUGAAGAUCUACUCCUUCAAGCUCAAACUUGAAUUUUUUAUGGUAUAAUAUGUAUAAUUGUAAAUAAUAUGUUGUUAAUAAUUUUUUAUGGUAUAAGAUGAAUAUUUUUUAUGGAUAAUUGUUAAUAAUAUGUACCAUUAAUAAUUCAUAUUUUUUUAAUAAAAAAAUGUAUUGUUAAUAACAAAAUAAAAAAAAAUUGUGUAUUGAAAAUUUACAUUAAUUUUCAAGGUAAAUUUAUUUUUUUACCUCAUUUUGAGUUUAAAGGGUAAAAUAGUCAUUUUGUUCAAAUUCUGUUAAGUUCUUAACGGUAGUAAAUGGAAAGGUGGACGCCAGAACUCUUUUGUCAACUUAGGGUAUACGAGUGAUAUAAGCAAAAAGUGUUGUAGCACGUUUGAUACUGGUGUCAUUUAAGGGUAUAUGACUGAUAAUUUUCCUAAUAAUAAUAAUAAUAAUAAUAAUAAUAAUAAUAAUAAUAAUAAUAAUAAACUUGUGAGAGGAAUUUUUGAAAAAUUAAGGAGAGUUAUGUUAUGUCGGUUGCAUUUAGAGAAAUUCUUAGUGACACGGUUCUUACGAUGUGAAUCUAAUAAAUUAAAUAAUCUCACCAUAUUAUUGAGAUUCAUCAAUAUAUGGCCGCCACUUUGAGAGGAAUUUUUCACAAAGUGAGUUAAUGUGAAUGAUAAAAUAGAUGUUAUUAAUUUCAUUAGCGUAAGUAAAGUUCUACUGAUACAAGACGACUUUCAUGUAAUCGGCUAUAAAUAAACACUUGCACAUGCAGUAACUCUAGGUUUGGAAAAAGGAGAGUUAUCUUUUGUUCUUAAUUUUUGCAUUUGGAGAAAUUCUUAAGUGACAGGGUCCUUCAUGUGAAUUUUAUGUCUGAUCUAAUUACGUACACAGUGCCUUUCAUAAAAAGGGGAAAAAAAUUACAAAACAACAAGCUUGUAUUUUAGUGACGAUCAAGAGCACUUGAAUGAACCGAACCAAUAAAGCUUCUGCUCACAGCGUUUUCUUUACAGAAAAUAUAUACUAACCCAAUAAUGGUAGAGAAACAUGAAUUCUUACUGCUGCAGACUCGCACCCAUUCUUUUAAGCUUUGUCUAGAGAGUGAGAUAUCACCUACCAAGAUAAAUUUUUUUAGGAAUUUUUUUAAUUCAAAAUUUAGGAUAAUUUUGUUAUUAAUUUCUCUUAUUUACUUUUGUGUGGGGUUGAGAUGGGAUUGGAUUGGGCUCUCUACCAUUAUUCCUAAUUAAUAACUAUCAGAUUAAAAAGCGAUGACACAUUCUUAUUCGAUUCAUAAGUAUAUUGAAACCCAUGCAUAUGCAUUUAGGAAAAUACCAUUUGAACAGCAACAAGACAACAGGAAAAUAGAAAUGAGUCAAAUGACAACAUUAUAAUAUGAACAACAUUGUCAUUUCGUAUGCUACGGUGUUAUUAUAGCAUGAACAGUACUUAUAUUUCUAUCUUUCUAUUAUCUUGCCCCUGUUCAAAUAGUAGUUCUCAUAUAUUUAACGUAUUAAAGUUCGUCAUACAUGUCAUUAAAGAAUUUGACAGAGGUAGUUGCUCUCUCUCUCCGCCCUUUAAAUUCUAUUCACUUCCGAAUUCUGCAAGCCAUCGCUUUUGCUUACACUUCCCCUUUCUUUUGUUGGCUUCCAUUCAUAUACACUAGCUUCCGCUAGAAUCCUCCUUAAGUUAAUUUCCGAACUUUUAUCCACACACACACACACAUCUAAAUGAUUUUCUUAGUGGCUUUUUGGUUUGUUUUUGGCUAUCAAAUAAUGGCCACUGAUCAAGAAAAGAAGAACAAUCUUCCCAAUUCUUCCUAUCCAUCAAGCUCAAAUAUGUGAAGCUUGGUUAUCACUAUCUCCAAUGCUUUAUAUCUCUUGCUUGUUCCACUCCAAUGCAUUGUUUUGACUCAUCUCUCAACUUUAACAGUUGAUGAUUUCUUCGAGCUAUAUGGAACGAGCUCAGGUUCAACUUUGGGAUACUGCUUUUAUGCCUGGUUUCUCUUGUGUUUAUAUCGACCGUUUACCUAAUGAGUCGCCCGAGAGAAGUUUACUUGGUGAACUUUGCUUGUUACAAGCCUGAUAAUCCAUCUCAAAUGUGCAGCGGAAAACUUUUCAUGCAAAUAGCGAGCAAAACUGGAAUUUUUUUAAAGGAAACUUUAUCCUUUUAGAAGAAAAUUCUAGCGAGAUCCGGGAUGGGGAAUAUGGCAUACGUCGCAAAAGCCAUGUUGGACAAGCCAGCGGAUAAGAAAAAUAUGGCGGAGGCGAGGAAGGAGACUGAGUCUGUAAUAAUCGGAGCAAUCGAUGAGCUCUUGGCCAAAACUGGGGUGAAGCCUAGAGAUAUUGGAAUUCUUGUGGCGAACAGCAGCUUGUUUAAUCCAAUGCCAUCUUUGUCAGCGAUGGUUGUGAAUCACUACAAGCUUAGAGGCAACAUUUUGAGCUAUAAUUUUGGUGGUGUGGGUUGCAGUGCUGGUCUUAUUUCUAUCGACCUCGCCAAACAGCUUUUGCAGGUUUGUCUUCAUUAUUUCUGUUAUUUACAUUCCUCUAGUCUCUCAGAGUUCACGAUAGUAAUUAAUUGAUCUCUUCUCAGGGCUAUUUAGAACUAAUGAAAUCACGUGGGCCAUCGGUACAAUUGGUAGAUUUUUUUUUUUCCCCUGAUGAGUACGAAUAUUGAUUGCCUUCGAACAAAUGUCUCAGUAUAUGAAUGUAUAGAUCAUCCAGGCUUUUUCACACAACAGUUUAAUGCUAUGCGGGUACUUGGCAUAGCAAACGUAAAGUCUCCUUCCUAUAUGCGUAAAGGACAGUAAAUUUUCAUUGAUUAAUUAUUAGUUAUUUUUAGCGUGAAUUAAAUUUCCUAUAAGAAUUUUUUAAAAAAAAAUCUGAAAAAUAAUAUAAUUUUAGAUGACCGGAUUUAAUGUCAAUUUUUUUUUGGGAAAUUUUUAUUAAUUUUGAAGCCACGAGAAUAAAAUAAUUUUCAUUGUACAUAACAGUUGCCACCCAACUCUGUGCUCAAGUGGUGAGCACAGAGAACAUCACUAUGAAUUGGUACGCUGGCAAUGACAGAUCCAUGCUUCUCAUAAACUGCUUAUUUCGAUUGGGUGGAGCUGCGAUCCUUCUCUCCAAUCGAUCAUCUGAUCGCCGCCGUUCAAAGUACGAGCUAGUUCACACCCUCCGCACGCACAAGGGCGGCGACGACAGAAGCUAUAAUUGUGUCUCACAACAAGAAGAUGAGUCCAAAAGAAUUGGAGUCAAAAUCUCAAAAGACCUGAUGGCCGUUGCUGGAGAAUCCCUUAAAACUAAUAUUACCACACUGGGACCGUUAGUUCUACCAAUGCCUGAGCAACUCUUGUUUACCGCAACUUUAGUUGGAAGAAAGAUCUUUAAAAUGAAAAUCAAGCCCUAUAUUCCCAAUUUCAAGUUGGCUUUUGAGCAUAUCUGCAUCCGUGCUGGAGGGAGAGCUGUGCUGGAUGAGGUCGAGAAGCAUCUCAAACUCAAUGAAUGGGUUAUGGAGCCUUCAAGAAUGACUCUACAGAUUUGGGAACACUUCAAGCAGUUGUUUGUGGUAUAAAUUGGCUUACUUUGAGGCCAAGAGAAGAAUUCGGAAAGGUGACAGGACUUGGGAGAUAGCAUUCGGAUCAGGAUUCAAGUGCAACAGUGCUGUGUGGCGUGCGUUGAGGACAAUCAAUCCUGCUCAUGAGAAGAAUCCUUGGAUGGAUGAAAUUGAUAACUUUCCAGUUCACGUGCCAAAAGUUAUGCCAAUUGAUUUUUAAUGGUUGGACGCUGGGGAAGUUUAUGCCAAUUUAGUAACUAUUUAUGUAUGAUUUUGUUGUAAUAAUUAAUGCUGCAGUCUUAUAGAAGUGGUGUAUCUCUUUCACAGUUUAGUAGAAUGCAUGUAGAAUUUUAAAUUUCAAUAAUUCUAAGAUCUCCUCCUUAAUUAAGUGAUCGCCGAGUAUCAUGUUGAUGGGUUGAUCAAAUUGUGAUUGACACUGGGAAAUUCUAGAACAUUAACUUAAAAGGAACAUAUC
rnacentral:lncRNA from 1 species